rnacentral:lncRNA from 1 species
UCCUGCCUGCACAGCGCCAACUCGAUCGCCACUGCACCGACUCGCCACUGUGCCGCUAGCCUAUCUCCACCACCACCCUAGGUAUAAUUAACCUUUUUUCCUUACCGUUGUCGUACGUAGAUCGGUGUAACUCAGUUAGGCGUCUCCCGUCCGAAACAUAUACGGUUGGAGGUAUGCAGAUCUUUGCAUAUCUCUGACCGUAUCUAUUUUGGAUUGUUCACGUUUUUUGGACAACCCACGGAUGCGUAGAUGGGUUAGUUUUUAUGCUCUACUCGGAUCUGAGACAGAGUUUCGGGACCACCUCCCUGUUGUUCUCUGGAUACACACUCUCCUUUUAAGGACGUGUAUCGGGAGAAUAGCGGGGAGGUGCUGCCGAAAUUCUGUCUCGGAUCGGAGUAGAGCAUAGAAACUAACCUCAUCUACGCAUCUGCGGGUGAGAUUAGGACCUAUCCUCACCUAUUAGAUAGUAGGCACGCCGUGCAGAUGCAAGUGAUGGUUAUAUUACUCUGUUAUAUGUAUAUGCUAGAGGAUGGAAAACCGUGACUGGAUGUACACGGGACGCCCAAGUCAAGCUCAAAUCACCCGCGAAUGGAUGGAUAAGACCGAGAAAUUCUUAGACCAUGCAUUUAAGGAAGCUAAGGGAGUGAGAGACAUGUUUUGUCCCUGCAGCGACUGUGAAAACAAGAACAGAAAAACAAGACAAGUCAUGGUGCAGCAUCUUUGCAAGUAUGGAUUUAUGCCGAACUAUACCCGAUGGGUGUACCAUGGUGAAGCAUAUCGUCCUAGAGAGGAGGCCAUGAUUCAACAGUUGGAGGCAUUUGAUGGUGAUGGCGGGGUAGCGGGAUGGUUAGGUGACUAUGCGGAUGCGACAUUCGUUGAAAGACCUACGGAGGAUGAGGAUGAGGAGGAGCCAGAGCCAAGCGCUAAGGCGUUCUUCGCCAUGUUGGAGUCAGCACAAAAGCACCUACAUGAGAAGACAAUAGUUUCUCAACUAGAUGCCAUUGGCCGCCUACUCAGGUUGAAGUCCCAACACAAUAUGACUCGAGCCUGCUUUGAUGCUAUGAUGUCAAUUAUUGGGGGGCUGCUUCCGGAGGGUCAUCAUCUGUCGGGCAGCUUGUACGAGUCAACGAGACUCCUUCGAGCACUGAAGAUGCCAUAUGAGUAGAUACAUUGUUGUCCGAAGGUCUGCGUCCUAUUUAGAAAAGAACACAAGGAUGCAAAGUACUGCCCAAAGUGUAAAUCCUCUAGGUAUGUGGAGGUAGACAAAGGUGAUGGAAAGAAGGAGCAGAAUGAGGGCAUCCCUAUGAAAGUCCUACGACACCUUCCGAUCAUACCAAUGCUCCAACGGCUAUUCAUGUCCGAGGAGUCCACGAAACAGAUGAGGUGGCACAAGAAUGGCGUUCGAUACAAUCCUGACAAGAUGGUACAUCCAGCAGAUGGUGAAGCAUGGAAAAGCUUUAAUGGCAACCAUCAUGGCAAAGAUGAAGAGGCCCAUAAUGUACGUGUGGCACUAGCAACAGAUGGGUUCAAUCCUUAUGGAAUGAUGGCUGGCCCAUACACUUGUUGGCCCGUGUUCACUAUUCCCCUCAAUCUCCCUCCUGGGGUCCUACUUCAACGACAAAAUAUAUUCUUGACGCUGAUAAUUCCUGGACACCCGGGAAACAAAAUGGGUGUGUACAAGGAGCCUGUUUAUGAUGAAUUGAUCAAGGCUUGGAAUGAAGGCGUAUGGACUUACGACCGAGCUACAAAGAAGAACUUUAGAAUGUAUGUUUGGUACCAGUACUCCAUGCAUGACUUCUUGACGUAUGGGAUAUUUGUCGGUUGGUGUGUCCAUGGGAAGUUUCCAUGCCCGAUAUGCAAGACAAGAAUACAAUUCAUUUGGUUGAAGAAGGGUGGCAAGUUCUCGUCAUUCGACAAGCAUCAACAGUUCCUCCCUCUUGACAAUGCAUUCAGAGAAGACACAAAGAACUUCACAAAAGGUGUCAGGGUGACCAACCCUGUGCCUCAGAUGAUGACUAGUGCCCAGGUUCAUGCUCAGAUAGAUGCUCUCGUGCUCCCAGCACAGAAAGAUAUCUCGAACAAGGGUAAAAGAAAGAAAGGUAAUCCAAUCAAAGAUAAGCCAAACAAAGAUCGCUUUGAAGGCUAUGGUGUGGAACAUAUGUGGACUCAUAAGUCGAGAUUGGAGAGGCUUUCCUAUUUUGAUGACCUUCUCUUUCCACAUAAUAUAGAUGUAAUGCACACUGAGAAGAAUAUUGCUGAAGCACUUUGGGCAACACUCAUGGACAUUCCUAACAAGACAAAGGACAACCUUAAGGCCAGAGUAGACAUGGCAACACUAUGCAAUAGACCAAAGCUAUAGAUGCUGCCUCCAAGAGAUGCCAAACCCUGGAAAAGGCCUAAGGCCGAUUACAUAUUGGAAAAAAAAGCACAGGACAGAAGUGAUACAAUGGAUACAAACAUUAAGUUUCCCUAAUGGGUUUGCAGCGAAUUUGAGGAGGUGAGCGAAGCCAGAAACUGGCAAAGUCUUAGGGAUGAAGAGUGGAUUGAGCGGCUUCUUCCAUCGACGGUUCAAGGCUACGUCCCCGAGCAUAUCUGGAAGGUGUUGGCAGAGCUGAGCUUUUUCUUUCACCAGCUUUGUGCUAAGGAGAUAUCUCUAAAAGUGGUUGACGAGUUGGAAAAAAUGGCACCCGAGUUGCUCUGUAAGUUGGAGAAGAUCUUUCCACCUGGCCUUUUCUUGUCAAUGCAAUAUUUGAUUUUGCACCUCCCGAAUGAGGUAUGAUUGUGGGGUCCCGUGCAGAACCAUUGGUGCUUUCCAAUUGAGAGAUGUCUAAAGACUGUUUUCGACAAAUGUGGAAACAAAGGCAGGAUUGAGGCUUCCAUAGCAGAGGCAUUCAUUCGUGAGGAGGUGUCAAACUUCACAACGUCAUACUAUAGUGAGAACCUUUCUAGCGUGCAUAAUCCACUCCCUCGUUACAACGAUGAUGAAAAUGAAUCGACCCUCAGCCUAUUCAAAGGGCAACGCGAGAGAUCAAGCGGAGCGGCCAAAAAGUGCUUGACCAAUGAAGAGUGGCGCAAGAUCAUGCUCUACGUGUUGAUGAACCUUGAUGAAGUCGACAAGUACCAGGGGUAUGUUCGUAACGAACUUGUUACAUACUCCGUAAAUUUUCUCCAUCCAACAACCUUGAUGCUUCUCGGUGCAGGGAAUUUUUUGAUACAUACUGGCAUCAUUCAAGGCCACCUUCUGAUCAUGAACGAGAGACUCUUCUUCAACAUGGUUCGCCUGAUUUCAUUACAUGGUUCCAAAGAAAGGUACCUUCUAACUGACUAUAAGGUCUCGUCAAGGCCACCUAGUUGUCUAAUUUCAUUUCUCUCCUGCUUGCGCUUGCAGUGCCAAAGUGAUUUGUCUAUAAGUUCCGAAUUACGACAAGUGGGCAGAGGCUUUGACUAUAAGGUCUCAUCAUUUAGCGCUUAUGAUGUGAAUGGAUUUCGCUUUCACACAACAAGCUACGACAAGGGUUGACCCAAUGCAAAGACCAUGAAUAAGAGAGUAUUUACUCUCGGAGUAGUUACGCCCGGCGCUGAGCAAGAGGACUAUUAUGGCAUAGUUAAAGAAAUAUAUGAGCUCGAAUACUAUGGUGAAAAAGCACCUAAGCCAGUCAUAUUCAAAUGCCAGUGGUUUAAUCCUGUAGUGUCGAGAAAGUCCCCUAAACUUGGGAUAGUCAAAACUAGACCGGAUUCCUUCUAUCCAGGAGAUGAUGUCUAUAUUGUGGCUCAACAAGCUAGACAAGUUUAUUAUUGUCCAUAUGCAUGCAAAACUGACCCACGUCUUCAGGGUUGGUAUAUUGUGCACAAGGUAUCACCACAUGGUAAAUUACCUCGCCCAAACGAUGAUGAUUACAACUUGAACCCACCCACGCAUGACGAAGAGUUCUAUCAACAAGACAAGGGGCUACCAGGGAUGUUUGAGAUAGACUUAACCAGUGAGAUUGAAAUGGAAGUAGACGAGGAUGUCUGGGUUGUUGACGAGGAAGCUGCAGAUGAGGUGCGUGAUCCGAGGGACUUGAAAAUGCUUGACGGACUAGAACUAGGCAAUGACAGCGAUGAGGAUGAGGUGGAUGACGAUUUGGAGGCUCUUGAUAGUGACGACGAUACCUAUCACCUAGAUAAUCCCAAUCAUGAAGAAUAUUAGAAAUACAUGUAAUACUAUGUUAUUUUGUAAUUGCAUUAUAUUUUUUUCAUCCCUUGCUAAUUACUUCUCGUUUAUCUGGACUAAUACUGGUUUAUUCUUUUUAAUUGCAGGUGAUGGGGCCCACUAGGAGGAGUUGUCACUCGACUUACUCGAGACCGAGGGACACGCCACCGGCUGAGGAGACGGAGGCAGAGCCGUCAGAGAGGCAGAGGAGGCCGAGGGGCAAGCCCAGGCGAGAGCCAUCGACUGACCACGAGCGCGGCUCCUCGCGCUCUUGUAGGGACGACAUCGUCCCUCUACCCACGGUGGGUGAGGAGGCGAUUCCACAGAUGUACGACGUUGUCGUUGCGCACAUGUCCGAGGGGGCGGUUCCACACACGUCCGAGGGGGAGGUUCCACACACGUCCGAGGAGGGGGCAGGGGGGUCGACUUCCUCUGCAGCCUCGAAACCCUACUUGUGAGGUCCCAGCCAUCUCCCAAAGUGACCGAUUCCUGUUGAGCGUCGCCCACUGAUUGCACCCGAGGGAGAUAAGUAACUUGAUAUAUUCUUCAUUUAAUAUUUGAAAAAUAAUAAUAAGAGCUAAUAAUGACUAGUGUGAACCACUUGUGGAGGAACUCGAUGCUUGUAGAGGAGGGGGUCCCGGCUCGCAAUGUCAAUGGGAUCCUAGGACUUUUGUGCAGGGAACAUUUCCCUGGCCUGGUGUGGCCAUCAGAGGAUGGGGACCCAGAGGUACCCUCGUUCGACCAGUACGCCCUUGUCGCCGAUGAUGUUCACAGAAACUUGGCGGCGGAUCGGGUGAUUAUGGAGUUGUGGGUAAGCCUUUUUCUCGCAAUAUGGCCCUCAAUUAUUUGUAUUCAUUGCACAUUCUUGAAAUAAAAUAAUGGAAACUUGUGUCUUUGUGUAGGACUUCAUUGGAUGCCAGCCAGGACAGGAGGAAAGGGCGUAUCAGGUGGCUUACGCUUCCUGUAAAAGGCGUGUCACAGACUUGUAUUACAAGGCCCGCGUCGAGGCACACGUUGACUAUAACGCCAAGUUCUGCAACAGAAGAAUCAAGAAAACACAGGCAAGAAGAGAGACAGAGAUACUGACAAGGGAGCAGUACCUAAAGGUAAAUAGAAAACCUCCUAUUGAUUUCUUUUGCAAUUAACUAUGCCUAAUUUGAUCUUCUGGAGUCUUGUAGGUGAUUCCAAGGUGGUAUGCCAUCCACCGCGAUUGCUGGGCUGCUAUAGUGGACAAAUGAUUGGACACGGAAUGGCAGAAGAUGCACCAAGAGAAGAGCGACCACUGUAUGAUGAUGCCAGGUGUACCUCACCAUCAGGACACCGCCAGCCUCAGCAAAUACGCAAAGACAUAUGUAAGUCUCCACCAGUUCUCUAAUCUAACCAUGCUCAAUUCUACCUCUCUUCUAAUCACAUGUUGUUUCUCUCGCAGUCGGCGACGCACGGUGGCCAACAAAUUGGCCAACUCACGGCGUAUGCUCUAGCCCACAUGGGUCCGGCAAAGUCCAACAUCGAGUACAACCCGGAUGCGGGCCUAGAGGCGUACACGAACUCCAGCGUCCACACCCGCCUCACUUCGUACACAGAGGCAGCAAGGUCAGUCCACGGGCCGGACUACGAUCCUAGGACCGAGGAGCGCCUUGAUCCUGAGCUUGUGAUGAGGGUGGGAGAAGGUAAGAAGCAUGGGCGGUUCUGGAUAGGCGACGGUGUCCUCAACACGACCUCUACUUUUCCUCUCAACCGCCUCCGAACAGCGAGCACGAGCUCUAGCGUGCCCAUAAGCAAACGACCAACAACAGUUGCGACACUCCAAGUAAGUAUUCUAGUUUCAUUCGUCGUUCUUUGGCUUUUAUAUUCUUUAGCUUUGCAUUAUUCAAACCUUGGGGUCAAAUUGUUGUAGGUCGAGGUAUAACAACUUCGGGCCCAGUAGGAGGCCGAGCUGGCUGUGCGGGUUGCCGAGCGUAAGAGAAUACAAGCUUUGGAGGCCCAGCAAGAAGGUUUGCUCAAGUGGGUGCAACAAAUUGGGCAGCAGCAAGGUUGGCAGAUCCUAGAAAACCUACUCGCACCACCACGACCAACACAUCAUGUAGAUUCUACUACGGUGAGUACGAGUACGAAUAUGUUACUUUCUAUGCUCAUGCUUAGUGUCAAACUUAGUGAUGGCGGAUUUGUUGAUGUGUGGGCCUUCGUGCUGGAUUUGUUCAUAUGUCGGGCUACGUGCUGAAAAUGUGUUUGUCAGCCUUCGUGCCGACGUUUUUGUUGCAGGUUUUGGGAACCUCCCCGUACAGGGAGGUGCUGCUGAAAUUUUUAACUUUUGUUUGAACUAUUUACAUUUUUUCUUCUGACUCACAUGCAAUCUAUUCUCUUUUGUGCAACAUCAAUCGGCUGCAGUGUCAAACCAUUGCGGAGAGUCGCUGACAUCGCAAGUCGGCCCGUCCCCACCCGGACCAUCUCCGGGAUCGCACGUUGGGGCGUCCCAUCCCUCACAGUCGCCGUGAGCCGCUUGCGAAUUCUUUUUUAUGUAUUCAAUUUAUGAACUUGUGGACUAUGAGUUGUGGUUUGUUUGCUGUUGAACUUGUGAACUAUUGAACUUGUGGACUAUGGACUGUGAGCCGUUUGUGAUUAUUUGCUGUUGAAUCGUGGUUUCUGGUGUGUAUAUAUAUAUAUAUGCAUUGUUGUCUAGAUGGGGUAAAACAAAAAAAAUUCAGAGGUGGCUUUGCCGAGUGCAAUGGUCAUGGCACUCGACAAAGAAAAUACCGAAAUAAUAUUAAAAACCGAAAUAAUAUUAAAAAUGUCUUUGCCGAGUGCCAUGACCAUUGCGCUCGGCAAAAAAAAUACCGAAAUAAUAUUAAAACAUGUCUUUGCUGAGUGCUGAGAUAGGGCACUCGACAAAGAAAAUACUGAAAAAUAUUAAAACAAGUCUUUGCCGAGUGUUGGACUCGGCAAAGAAAGUUUUUAAUUUUAAAAAAUAAAACUCUUUGCCGAGUGUUGCACUCAGCAAAGAAAAAACGGUGUGACCUGCCUGGUAGACGACGUUAAAUCUUUACCGAGCGUCACCAUGGCACUCGGUAACUCCUUUGCCGAGAGCCCAUAUUUUGGCAUUCGGUAAAGCCGGCUUUACCGUUAACAUCUUCGCCGUAAUUCUUUGCCGAGUGUUGCACUCGGCAAAGGCUUUGCCGAGUGCAGUUUUGCCUUUGCCGAGUGCUUCAGACACUCGGCAAAGAACCAGCCUGCAGUAAUGUCCAAAUUAAAACCAACUGCCAUCAAAUUUUGACUAGAUGAUCACAAGAUAGUAGGUGAGCUAUCUCUAAAAGAUCAUCACUCAAAGUUUAGCCAAUUAACACGAAUCUUAAAUCAUGCGAUGAACACCGGUUUUUCCUCCUCAAAACUUGAAUUGUGCCCCGAUCUAUGAGCUUGUGAGGAUUUAGAAAAACUCCUUCAGUGGAAAGGAUCAAAACACGUCCUGUCUCAUGUUAGAACAAUCAGUUCAACUCCAAAUAACCCCAAAAUAACGAAUCAAAGCAAAAUGGGAGAGAAGAAAACAAGAACCGAAAAACACAAAUCGUGACUCACAUGAACAUACCUCAAUCUUGAAUCCCGAAGGACAAGAGGAGGUAAGGGCCUCCAUUCCCACAACAUAGGUUUAUGAAUUCGGAUUACACAAUCAUAAACACAAACAAAAUCAUUCGUGGACCUCACAAGCAAACCCUAGAAUGAGAGAGGGAGAAGUUCUAAAAAUGAAAACGUAGAGAGAUCGAGGUCAAAGGUUGUUCGGGCAGCCCCCUCUUAUUUACCGAUACUGAUACACUAGAGCGAACCACCUAUUAAAGGGUAUUAUCACCCAACUUAGAUGGUUGCUGAUCUGACAACCACAUGCCUUUCAUGAGUUAGCUUUGCCAUAACACAAGCCUCAUGAUGAUGCCAUGUGCUAUGCCACCUCUCAUUCUGCCAAUCUAGAAAUUGUCCACCUGCUAGGUUUGAGGCUCAACCCACCAACCUCUCAUGAGUAGCGUACUCCAUUAAAAUAAUAUCAACUAAAAAGGGUCACACAAAUGGAUUUCAUUUUUUGAUUGAAAGUUGGUGGCUAUCUAUUUUCAGCAUGAUAGAUACUUAUUAGGAUAAUAUUAACUAAAAAUACACAAACAUGAAGAACUGUUCUUAUUUACAAGAAAGGUGUACAAGAUAGUGAAUACCUAGUCUCUGUAGAUCAAAUAUAGAUCAUGUUUCUGAAGAAACUCAGCAACUAUGUUAGCUCCAAAGGUAUAGGAAACACCCCUACCAUUCUCACCCCACCCAUCAGUCUCUUAUCAGGGUCCCACCAUAGAAAAUCACAAAGGAGACCAAUGUCAGGAUUUAGCAACAUCCAUAGGACUUGAAAACUGGUUUACUGCGCCCGUGCCAAUGUUUGGAUGGACUUUGCUCUUUCUCGUGCUGGUCGUAAGGUACCUUGUAGUACUACCAUGUCUGUCUUGUUAUUAGGCCACUAUCAAGAAGCAGGGAAACAGGGAGCGAGAGAACCAUCAAAUUUGGGUGCCUAGAUCUGAUGCCCGUUAGUCAGUCCUCCAUCCUACCGAAGACAAGCGGCGUUGCAUGUGGAUGGAGGGAAGCAUGGGCGACAAUGCGUGUGGAUGGAGGAAAGCUGAGGCGACGAUGCCUGUAGACAGUGUAUUGAGUGAGUACGAGCGGUGCUGCACGUUGGGGGCAAGUGACAAUGUGAACGGAUUAGAGAGAAGUGAGUUGUAAGCCGUGCGUGAGUUUGGACAGGUUUGGUUCGAAUGUGAGUCCGAGCAGGUUUAGACUGUAAAAGUCACUAUGCCACAAAUACUUAUUAGUGACGCAGAAAAACGAGUCACUUUUAUUGCGUCUCUGAUGUGAAGAUAUUAGUGACGCGUCUUUAUACGUCACUGAUGUGGAGAUAGCAGCGACACAUAUUAAGAAGACGCGUCACUGGUGUGAGAUUGCUGCGACGCGUACUGAGAAGAUGCGUCACUGAUGUGAGACAGCUGCGACGCGUACUGAGAAGACGCGUCACUGAUGUGAGAUACCUGCGACGCGCAUUAAGAAGACGCGUCACUUAUAUGAGAUAGCAGUGACGUGUGUUAAGAAUAUGGGUCACUAAUGUCCCGCCAUUAGUGACACGUAUAGCCAAAACGCGUCUCUGAUAACAAUUUGCAAAAACAAAAAAAAAGAAAUCUAGAUCCACGGUGUACAUUUCUGAAUCCCAUGUUUCACAAUAUGAUACCUUUCACGGCAGUACAUACAUAGUUCACACUCACAGUAUAUACAGUAAGUUCUCAUGAUUAUAAUACACAACAAUAUUGAACUGAAAGUGAUUACAUAGAGUAUCCACCAGAACUACAAAGUAAUGGUUGCUUUAUAGAAUAAAUGGCUAUACAUAUACCUCCUAGCUACUUCCUUUCCUCUCAGCUCAAUGUAGGUCAACAGCUCCUAGGCUACAACAAAACAACAGAUAGUUAAUUAAAGAGAUAAAUGUAAGAAAUGUCAUUCUGCUAAAUUGUUUUCUACAAAACAGCAGGUCCCUAUCUAGAGGUGCAUAUCAUACAUAGUGAAUGAUCUCCAAUGGCAAAUGUACUUCCUAGUAUGUAAACCUAUUGUCAAUGAAUACGAAAAUAGCACCUUCGGUAGUAUUGCUACUAAGACAACCCAACUAUUGAUUGUGAUUUAGAAGUUUUGGUCCUUAGUAAGAGGAGCAAUAUUGAGCAUAUAAGGAAGAAUGUAGCAAUCACUAGCUGAUUAAAGGGUUAUGUAGAACACUAUAAUAUGAUAUUUAACAUUCAUGACAACCCCGACUAUUUAUUUAUGGUUUAGUAAUUGUAAUUUUACAGGCUGAAAAAUAGACCAACGGCAAAAAGUAGUUAAACUAAAUAUCAACACACAAAUAAUGGAGACAAAUGGUCAGUGCAAAAUUUAUUUAUUUCUAUUAUAAUUGUAGAAUAUGUUAAAGGCACACAUAGAGUAGGAAAACUUAACAUGACUUGAUGGAAUGUGCUUUCCACUCAGGAGAUCAAGCAAGACAGUGCCAAAAAGUAGGAACCCCUGCCACACAUAACCACCAUGAGGAUAAAAUGCAACUAUCUAUGUUAGAUAGAUUGAUAACCCACUUAAUAAUGAUCUCUUGACAGCCAUAUCCCUUCACUUAAUGAUCUCUUGACAGCCAUAUCCCUUCAAGAGUGUUUAUGUCCCCUUAUACAGACUGAUACAUACAACACCUAAGACAAUCUUAUACCACAGCAAAAUGGAGGAAGCAGUGUACUCUGUAGAUAACUGUGAUGGUCCAUGUAUCUAGGAAAUUAUUUCUAUGCCUGUGUCAUAUAGUUGUGAAUUCUUAAGUUAAUCAGACCAUUGGUGAUUGGUAGGAAAAUGUAUCAUAUAAGUACCAUACCCAUCUGUAACUACCAAAUAAAACUAAAUCUGUUCUCUAAAGUAACAACUUUUACUAACAAACUCUCAGAAGCAAUCAGAUCUCUGACUUAACUACAGUGCAAUACCAAAUAAAAAGAUAUGCUCACCCAAUUAUGUAGGUCCAUUGCAAAUCUGCAUGGUCCGACGUGUGCAUAUCUGUAAAAAAACAAAGUUCGCCAAGAAUUAGCUCAUACUACUUAUAUACUACAAAGCAGCAAGAGAGAGCAGCUCUACCAAAUGAACCAUCAUCCAACCAAACACAAACAGAAAUGCAACCACAACCACCAUUACUGAAACUGAAAGUAGGAACACAACUGAACAUCAUUUGUCACUCACAAUACUGGCAUGGAAAUAGUUACUCAAGAUACCUGAGCAUGGAUGGAUGACCAUCUCCCCACAGACAGCAUACUCGCAUAUUAAGACCUGUAAUAGUUAUCAGUGUAUUAGCUAGGCAUGACAAUAUGCAUUUGCUAUAGAAGCGAGAGAGAAAACAUGCACGCAACCAUUUAUCUAGCUGUGACAUAAAUGGGUUAGCCUUGUGUCUAGCUGUGAAUCAAGGACUAACAGACCUAUGCCUAAAAUACAGGCAACUGAGAGUCAUGCAGCCAAAGAAUAUUCAAAACCGGAAACAUGCUGCUAUCAACCUGCACACCAAUAAGACUCACAUAACUCACAGUAUAAUGAACUGCUGCAUAAGAAUUCAGAUUCUUAUAAUCUAUAAAAUCUGCUGGAAAAUACAUUGGGCACUCCCAUCUCAAUAAUGUAGGCAGUCAACAGUACCAAAACUUCAUGCAAGCAUGCGAGGAGUAUACCCUGAGCAAAAAUAUUUUCCCUAUAACCACAUCUAGCAUGUCACCUGAACUAUUAAAUACUUUAUUGAAACAUCUGGGAAAAAAAGAAGCAAAGCAUGGGCGAACACUUCUAGUAUUUUUGAGAGCGGCUUUUGUAUAUCUCCAAUAUAUAUCACUACUGUUUGUUUAUUAUAGAUCACCUUCGUGUUAAAAAAACAGGACAGGACUGAAUGACCCAUUUAUUGUAACUGUCUCUUACAGGAGAAAGCAUUACCUUGAAAUAGAGAUAGGUAUAGAGCAACAAAGUCAAAUGCACUCUUCCUUCAGUAUCCUCUCACACAGCGACAACAAGCAUUACAUCUAAUCUAUCUAAGUAUAGUAUCAGACAUGUCCAAUGGAAAUGCAAUGAGGAUGGACCACAACCAAACCAUCACAGCAAAAGACAUUUAUUUGGUGACUGGUUUCAUAGAGAAAAGGUUCCAGGGAAUUUAAAAUGCACUGAUUCAUAUCCUCACAACACAUGAAAUAUUUAUUUAGCAGUUAUACAUAAGAAACAAAAAGUAAAAAGAGGAUGGAGAACCUGGGACAACUGGUCGAAAAGCAAGGCCCUAAUUGAGAUCUCUGAUCUCGCCACAUCGCUAGAUAUAGACAAAAAAGAAAUUACAGUUGCAACUAAGUAAUCAUGGAUGAAGAACAGAUAAAUAUCAGCAGAGAAUUUUUAUUCCUUUUGCCCCUGUUAUAAUCUUGGCAAACCUCUCUUUGGUAUCCUUUAACUCUAAAUUAGUACGGAUAUGGCCAGAAACAAAAAAACAACCAUGACUAGUUACAUUAUGCUUUAACUCUGAAUUAGCAGUACAGAUAUGGGCAGAAACAAAAAAAAAGGCAGCCAUGACUAUGUUACAUUACUGACAAUUUGCUAGACUUAAUUUGUUCAAUUCUUCAAGGCUAUACGAUCCAAGAGUUAAUUCCUCUGCCCAGCAUCUACAGAGGACAACCCAGCAAAUUGAAGCAGAAGUGAGGCGAGGAGAGAGAGGGGAGCACUCACCGUAAGAGAGAGGAUGCAUGGCUUGGCGAGCCUGCCGAGCUUACCGAAGAUGCUAAGCGGCCCUUGGCGAUACAGAUGGAGAAGGAACCUCGUCACCACAAGCGCCUGACACCGUGCUCGACCUCUCCGCCUGUACAGGAAGCCGAUCUGAGGAGAUGGGGCAAAGAGCGGGGGACACCUUGAUGUCGCCCAAAUCCAUGGAGGCUCCCCAUGCUGGCCAUGGCACCCACGAUGGGGACACAACCCACUCCCCCCGCAGGCCGCGCCGCUAGAUCCGCAACGAGCAGGGAGGUAGGGUUUGGAAGAGAUGAGUGGUACAUGUGUGCGGAAAUCCAGGUUAGGGGAAGGGAAAUGGCGGGGGGGAGGAGGAGGACGAGGAGGGCGGUGGCAAUGGCGACGGCAGAGGAGGGCAGCAGCGGCGGCGGCAGCGGCGGUGGAUGAAUCUCGCAGAGCUGAGAGAAGGCAGAAAGGGUGAUGGCCCGAGAAGAAACACAGGGAAGGGAAGGGGUGUCGGAUUUCACUUUCCAUUUAACAGGAUUUCAUCAUUUUUUUGGGUCCGUGAAGGGCGACAUGAGACUCGUGUUGCUGAACCGCGUCACUGCCGACAAUCCUGUUUUACUAGCGACACGUGUUGUUGUGAACGCGUCACACAUUUUCUCUGUUGGCCACGGACGACUCCCAACUAGUGACUUGUUCAGUUUAUCUGCGUCACUGCUCUUACAUUAGUGACGUGUUUCAAUUUCGAGUCACUGAAUAAGGUGUCUCCUUUGUGCUGUUUUGGCAUAGUGAGUAUUGGUGAUACGGAGUGGGCUGGACCAAAAUCAGGGGUGAGAAGUUUUGCCUCUUUAUUAUUAGGUAUAGAUUCUGAGUUGCCCAACCCUAUCUAUGCAUGCCUUCCUUUCAAACCCCAUCCAUAUAUAAUGUGUCUGCAGAUGCCGUUUAAAUACCAACUUGCCCACAAAAACUCAUAUGAUUGGUAGCCAAAAUCAUUGACAUGUAUACAUGUCUUUUUAAACUAUGGCUUAAUAGAAAAUAAGCAUGUACGUUAACAACUAAAAUAACUAAUUAAUGAAGAACAAGUUAGUCUUUUUUCUAGACUCCUUAUUUGAUCCUAAAAUCAUUUAGAUACCUUAUAUUUCAGUAUAGAGUAAGUAUCUAGAAGAUCUUACCAUUUAGCUAUGCUUAUAGAAUUAAUCACAUGGACACAUUUAAUAAAGUUACAAGUGUUGAUUAUACCCUACUCCACUCCUAACUUUAUCUAUACAACACUUCAAAGUGUUUUUACGAGUCAUGACUAUGAAUACGUGCACACACAUACUAUUUCCAUGAGCACCUCUGGAAAGACCAAGAUUGAAUCGAUAAAAUCUUGAGAUUUAUAAAGUUACCAUUGAUGUCGUCUCGUUGUUGAUAGCCACACAACAUCGUUAAAUCCAAAAAUAAAUCUAAAACAAUAUGAGUAUCCACAUCAAGUUGAGUAAUUAAACCAGCGUGGACAUAUUCUAUCUUUAGGAAUACUACGGUUUAAGAUAUGAUUUCUCUAAUCACAAGCAAAUCACAUUUUGGACAUAGAUAUAGUGUGGAGACUCCACAAAUAUAAUCCUUUGGUAGUUAAUUUUAGUAAAUAUUGAAAAGAAUGAAGCAACGAAUCCAUUAUAUCAUUUUCAAAUACACGAAUUGAAUGCACAAAAAGGAACAUGCAACCAAAUCUUAAAAACAGUUUGACUUAAAAUCAUAAAGACAUGAUAGAAAGUACUGUUGGCUAAUUUAUCGUGAGAAAAAAAUACUAGUGAUUGGCUGAGAGAUUCGGCUGAUAAGCUCAAGCGAACAGGCUGAGAUUUGUGUCAUUGCGUGACGUGUGUGGUGCAAGAUACAGCUACGAGAGGGUAAUUUAUGUACGUUACUGACCUAGCAGUGAUCUGUAGAGAGUAGUAGGGCUUGUUUGGCACAGCUCAACAUCACUAGUAAAUCUGUUUUUUUAGAAAAUAGCUUCAUGAGUGACUUUCUAGAUGAAGUUGAGCUGUUUUGGAAAAAAUGUUUGGCAAAAUAGUUUCACCAACUACUUCAUGCAUAGUUGAGAGAGAGAAAUGAGAGAGAAAGCUGCAAUAAGCUACUUUUUUCAGCUUCAUCCCAACUUAUGUAUUUGUGAGAGAAGAGGAAAAACAGAUUAACCCAUGAAGCUGUUUUGAAAAUAAGUGUUUAGCUAAAAAAACAGCUCACAACAGCUCAUGAAGCUGUUGUGAGCUGUACCAAACAGCCCCGUAGUAUUUGCCAUUGCCACCUUUCGUCUCCCCUCCAAGACGAAAUUAAAGCACUGUAUGUGUGUGUUUGGGGAGGGAGAGCGAGGAGCUAGCUGUUCCAUUUCCUCCCCCGUCUUCUCCGCCGAACACAAAGCAAAGGCCACACGCAUGCAGAAACAUGCAUUUCUCCAUUGCAAUUAUUGCCUGCUUUCUCGUGCCCAGCCCCUUCUCCCACCAACGCCCCCGUGCCACCACCAGGCCCUCGAUCUCCAAUCCCCAUCGCUCUCGAUCCAUCGCUCCCGCACAAAUAAUCCUGCCCGGUUUCAUCGCAUCGCAUCGCAUGCGUUUUCCCAGCUGGGUUCCUGGUGCUUUCUUGGAUCGCCGCCGCACCCGCCCUUGCCGGCUUUCCUUCCCGACCUGCAGCCCCAGGUACGAGCAUUUCCCGUUUCUGUUUUCUUGUGGGGGCAGACUUCAUGCGCAUUGUGACGAUCGAUCGAUUUGCUUUGGGAUUGCACUGGAGGAUUGACCGCGUACGUUAGUUUAGGGUUGGGAGACAGGGAGAGGAGGAUUAUAUAUUGGCAUUGCUCUUGAUCUUCGUGUUGCUCUGUCUUUGCGCUGCGUCAGAUCACUGGGUGUGAAAUUUGGGUAAAUUUCGUGUUUCCGUGCAGUGUGGGCGAAUUAUUGACCAUAUACGACGCUCCUUCUUCUCGUCCCUCAAUUUCAUAGGCAGUACGUGUGAUCGACAUUCCCGGAGAUCAGAAUAAUGGUCCCUUUUGCCUGCUCGUAACAAAUUGCUCGACACGUUGUAAACAUGCAAAUUCAAAACUUAUGAUCCGGAAUCAUUUUAUUUUUUGGGUGUAAUAUAAUAGACAAUAUUGCAGAGGUGAGCAACCUGGGAACGGGAACACACUCUCGCCGUUGCUGGUUUCCUCUCCCGCAGCGCCGCUAGCUUUGGCUCUCGCCGGUUGUCCUGCAGCGCCGCAGCUUCUCAAUGGCGCAGGAAUCGCGACCGUGGCUGUGCCUGUGCGGAACUACCGCUGCAGCCGUGCGCUUGCACGUGCGUGGGAAAAACGACUAGAGAAAAUAUGAUAUACGUAGGGGAGUCAAAGUCGCAACGUUUGAAAAAAAAUGCUCUAUAUAUCCUGCGUGCAUGGACCAACCACUACGUCCCCAACGCGUUUCAAUCAAAGUUGAUAAGAUGCAAGCAUGUCGAUAAGAUGGUUCUGCUCGGCUCUGGAGUGCCCAAAAAAACUAGGGGCUACUUGGUUGAAACCAGUAUGUCUUGUCCUGUUCGCUUGAGCUUAUCGUCGAAUCUGUCAAUCAUUCAGAAGUAUUUUGUUCUCACAACAAAUCAACGAACAGUAAUUUCAACUAUAGAUUUUUAGAUAAACGAACAAACUCGAGCUCGCCUGCACUCGCUGCAUCGGCACGAGCGACGAGGUGCUCGCUGGUCCAAGCGAGCCAAAUCGUCUCUCUCAUGCGGGAGAGUUGAUUUUGAGGCUGGCACCGUCUUCAACAUGAUCAGGUAAGGAAACCAAACUCGGUAGGGUCAAACAACGUUGGGCAAAGAAACCAAGCGGCCUCCUAAUCUCUACUAAACAUUAAGAGGGCACAAAAGGAAGACUAGUGAGAUGUAUGCUUUGUGUGGGGCUGUUCUGAGGUGAUGUUGGUGGCCCUUUUAGAAUGUUCAGCUCAUUAGGCUCGUGAGCGCGAGCUUGGGCAUUAACUAAACUAGAACAGUAGCCCGCACAUUGCUGCAGAAAUCACAGGCUUUAAAAUAACGGUAAUGAUACUGUGCGGACGUCCAUCUAGUCCGGGUGCCGCGCACCCAGGCCUGUGGCCCAAUAAAAUGAUGUUGCCAAACCAACGCACCUAUCUCCGUUGUCCCUUUCCUCGAGUCGCACUCCUGCAGCGCUCGUGACGCUCUCCUCGCCCUCUCCUCCUCCACUCCCUCGCUCUACUUGUGCACUGCCAUGCCUCCCCUCUCUCCGUGACCUACAAGCCACCGGAGAGGAGGGUGACAUGGACGACUUCCCGGUGAGCCCCCUUCCUCCCUCCCUCCCUCCCUCCCCCUUUCGCAACCUCCAUAUCAUCAGAGAGGAGGGAUACGGCAUCCGAUGCGCUGCGUCUUUCCUCCGUCUACCGCUUCGCGACCUCCAUGGAACCGAAGACGAGGACGAUGGCGGUGGCUCCAACGAGGUAGGUGGCGGAGGGAUCUAGAUCUGAGGUCUUCCUCCCCCUUCCUCCUGUCCUGGAUCUGAUCUAGGCCCUCCUCUUCUUCUUUCUCCUCCUCCUUCUCCUCCUCCUCCUCCUCUAGAUCUAAGGGAUGUGGUGGUGGCUAGGGUUUCGGUGAGCUCUCGAGGUUCAGCUCUCCCGUGUGUUGUAAUGGUGUUCUCCAGAUAUUGCAGUAUGUUUUCACUUGUUGUUUCAGUAGGCUAAGCUUCUGGCAAGCUCUCGGGUUCAAAUUUCACCAUUGUUGCAAUAGUUCUCUCUAGAUGUUGCAACGGGUUUCAGUCAUUGUUGGAGUACUGUUUUUUAUGUUGUUUCAGUUUCUUCAAUCUACAUGUUGCAGUAGUUUGUUGUCUGUUGUUGCAGCAGUUGUCGGGUGUUGUUGUUGUCUGUUCAUUAUGUUUCAGCUAUUUUUUCUUGUUUGUUGCAAUAAUAUGUUCAAGGUGUUUCAACUUCAUCAUCCCAGUGUUAGAACUGUUGUCUUUUUUUUUGUUGUUACACUUUUAUACGUUCAUGGUGUUUCAACUGCUACAAUUUAUUAUUGCAGUAGUUCAUCGAGAGUUGUUGUAAUAUCACAUUUAUGGUGUUUCAGCAUCUUCACCUUUAUGUUGUAGUGUACAGGCGGGGGAGGGGAGCUAUUGUGGCGACUUGGCAAUAGGUGGAUGUGAUGGGGGGCCAACAAGGCUGGAGGCGGGCAGAUUCCGUGCGUGGCGGGGAGUGGGAUGGGUCUGGAGGAAUUUCCAGCCCACGUGCGGGGCGAGUGAGGGCAGGACGGGUUCGAAGGAAGGGCUUUCUCCUCCCGUGCGGGGCGAGUGGGGGCCGGGUGGGUUCAAACUUCCCAUGUGGAGCGAGCAGGGCUGGCAUGUUCCUUUCUUCUUUUUGAUUGGGGCGAGCGGGGCUACCUAAAGCACCAGCGUUCGGACGCACUCGCGCACCGAACGUCUAGGCGCUAGCACGACCGAAUAACGUUAAAAUAAAAUUAUACAACUUAUGUUUACUUAUAUAUAUAAGUCGAUGAUGUAGCAUGCUAAUAUGGAUAACUAAAUGUAUGUAAUAGAUUGUUGAUGUAAAUUGCUUAAAUGAAGAUAUAAUAGCAUGUGAUAUGCUAGUGUGCUAUCAUAAUUAUGUGUUAGUGGAUGCUGAUGUGGACAAUUUGUAUGUGAUGUGAUAGUGUGCUAUCAUGGCCCUCUUUAGUUCCCCAUCCAAAAACUUUUCGUCCAUUUCAUCAAAUCUUUAGACACAUGCAUGGAGCAUUAUGUGUAGACAAAAAAAAACUAAUUGCACAGUUUGGUUGUAAAUCAUGAGACGAAUCUUUUAAACCAAAUUAGUCCAUGAUUAGCCAUAUUUGCUAUAGUAACCCACAUGUGCUAAUGACGGCUUAGUUAGGCUAAUAAAUUCGUCUUAGUUUUCAGGCGGGCUAUGUAAUUUGUUUUUUAUUAGUAUCUGAAAAUAUUUCCGGACAUCCUUCGGACACAUCCGAUGUGACACUCAAAAAUUUUCUUUUCGUGAACUAAACAAGGCCAUAGUUACGCGCUAGUGGAUGCUGAUGUGGACAACUUGUAUAGCGAGAUAGAAUACUAGUAGGGAUUGAAAAUAUAAGAUAAUAGAUAUAGAUAUAGAUAUAGAUAUAGAUAUAGAUAUAGAUAUAUUUGUGCUAAACUGUUAGCUAGUUAGAAAACAUAAACGAGCUGAGGCGAACCAAAAGACAAAAUUGAGUCAAGUCCAGCAAGCCACGAGAUUAUUGUCCAACACUACUCCCAUCACUAGCUUGACAUCGCUAAGCUCAAUAUGCCCCUUUCACUUUGGAUGAUAUUUUGGGAUCAUUCAUGAGAUACCAUUAGACAAGACCCCUAGCCAUGGCUUUAUUGAUCACUUCUAUAACCUCGCUUGGGUAUAUCAAACUUGAUGUGAUGUAUGUUUUGCAGUCAUGUCAAAAUUUUGAAGCGUGGAAAUUUUAUCUCAUGAAUGAUGAACUCUAGUACUCCUACUAAAUCCUCAGAUCAGAACUAAAUGGGAUUGGGAAUUACCAUCCCGUCUCAUCAGCAGAUUCAGGAAAUUGGUUUCAAUGGCCCUUGUCGAUGAUUUUGCCAAACUGAGCACUUUCAUGAAAGGUCGUAAAAUAUCUAACAAUUUUGUUACAUCACUGGGGUUGCUAAGGCAAUGCAUGUGAACAAACAACGUUGCAUUCUCUUCAAGAUCAACAUUACCAAAGCUUUGACUCAGUGUCUUUAGGGCAUGUUUGGCACCGCUCCACUCCAGCUUUUCUAACUCUGCUCCAAACUUGUUGAGUCAAAUAGGUCUAACUUCAAGAACUCUGCUCCAAGAAAAAUGUGGAAUUGAAGGCCAACUUCAUGUUUUUUCUAGAUCUCCUCAAGGUUUACUCUAGAAAUUGAAGUUUUGUAUCUUCUUAUGGAGUUGGUGAAAAAUUACACCACUACCACCCAAUACACACAUAAUAGUUCAUACCCCCCUUCAUUUCUUUUCUGUAGCAUCUCUGCCUACCACCGAUAAUUCUCAAUGGCACCGUUCCCUUUCCUCCGAACAGUACCAUUGUUGUCGCCUAUUCUAUAGCCACCACCGCAUUUCUCCGGUGAGCUGAUGUAAGGAAUGGAUAGAUCCAGCUGAGAUAGAAAAGUGGAGGAGAGCAGUCUUAAAUGGGCACUUAGCCGUUCUUGAUUGAUUCCUUGUAACAUCUUGGGUUCUCUAGAGUUUGGACUAACUAGAUCUCAGUGCUCCUCUCUACAACAGUACCAAGGUCUUGAUUAAUAGCAUCUAAGAGAAAAUGACCUACCAUGCCAUGUGACUUUGAUAGGAGGGUCAUCUAUCCCCGAUGGUCUUCAUGUUCAUUGGGUCUCUACUCUCUACAACAUGUGGAUACAAGACCUACUUCAAACAUUGGGUCUCUGGUCCAUCACAUACAUGACAUUGCUUUUAUAUGGAUGAUCUUAUUCUGUUCUUUGCACUGGUCGCCUCGGGACAUUGUGAUGUUCCUAUCUACCUUUUAUGCUUUGAGGGGGCUAUUCACCAACCUUUCCAAGUGUCAUGUCACUAUGAUUUGUUGUGUCCUAGACGAGGUAGACCAUUUAGAAUUUUUUAUGUUGUCCUAUCAGUGACCUCUCAUGCCUGUACCUGGGGACUCGCUCUUCUAUUAGUCAUGUGUUUACCAAUGUCAGCUAUUCUGUAGUUGGUGGACAAGGAUGCAGACCGUUUGCCGCUUUGGAAAGACAAGUUCCUAAAAAGGUAGGGUCAUCUCAUCCUCGCCAAGACUAGCUCAUUGCCAUAUUAGUCCAUAUUUCCAUUCUGGUCAAGCUGCAACCUUGGACUAUACAUGCCGUCGACACGAUCUGCAAAGCAUUCCUUAUGUGUGACAUAGAUGCAGUGAAUAAUUGUGGGCAUUGUCUGGUGGCAUGGACAAAAUCUUCUAGACCUCCAGGGUUGGGAGGGACUCGGCCUCCAUGACAUGAAACUCCCUUGAUUAACAUUUCAGAUGCGUAGGGAAUGGAUCUGAUGCACUGACUCAACAAAGGCCUAUAGGGGUUCUGGUCACACUUUGACAAGACGGCUAUGCAUGGGUUGGGGCUUCUUUGGUCAAUAAGUGUUGGUAAUGGGCACUACACACUGUUUUGGAGAGAUAAAUGGAUUGAGGGUCGCUCCAUUUGGAUAUUGCACUGCACCUAGCCGGCUAGCCUUAAUGCUCUAGUCAGCACAUGGAUUUGAAACUCUAGCACAGUCAAGGAGGGGCUCUCCAAUCAUCGACUAGUCCGAGACAUUUCCAUCUCUAGUGUAAUUAAUUUUUGUUUGAGGAAUUUUGGAUUAUUAGCAUAUAUAUCUGGGACUUGGUGGAAAGCCCGCCCAACCUUCUUAGAGAUUCCAGGUGAUUUCUUGUGAAAGUGGAGAGGUGAUGCCCAUACUGGACAUCAACAGAUCCCAUUUUGUGGGGCAAACAGUAAUCCUCGACGCAAAGCAACUAUGUUAAGUUGCCAAACAAUUGCAAAUUCUUGAUGUGGUUGGUCUCCUUACUCUUUGUCGGAGAGGAUGCAAAUGCAUGGGUUGCCUAAUAGAAGGAUUUGUACAAUUUGUUCACAAAAGUCUAAGACACUAUUAGCCCUUGUUGCUUAACUAUGUCUUUAAUUGGGAGACUUGGUUCAGAGCCCUCAUAUCCUUUGAAUAACAAUCCUAUGACUGGCUGCCAUCCUCAUAAUCUUCCUGGACAGACUUAUGGCUCCAAAUAGGGAAAGUCCUUCCAGAGCCUCGGGGCAUCGAAUGUUUGAUUCCUAAGUCAUCCUAACCUCUUGGAGGAUCUGGAAGGAACACAAUGCUCGGUUGUUCAGAUGACAAUUGCUUCAUCCUAUAUAGUUGGCCAAGAUAUUAAAGAGGAAGCUGGUUGAUGGUUGCAAGCCAAGUUAAUCAUUUUGCCUAUCGUAUUACAAUAGUUUCAGGCCUUGUUUGGAUGUAGUUGGAUUCGCAUAAAUCCACAUGUGUUGGGGUGGAUUGGAGUGGAUCUUGAACUAAAUUCCACCCCAAUCCACUCCAACACAUGUGGAUCGAGAUGAAUCCGACAACAUCCAAACAAGGCCUCAAGUGUGUGGCUCGCUCGGGGCGCUUGCGUGUGUGCUUGAUUGGAUGUGUGUUUGGUAGUUUCUUUUCUCUCCUAUCUUUUUUAGUUGGGUCUGUUUUCUUCUCAUCGAGGCACUUUGCAUGCUAGACUAUAUCUUAACCUCUUAAUGAAACACACGCAUCGUAUGUUCUAAAAAAAUGAUUCUCGAAUGUAGAUGCUCCAUGUUGUGCAACCUUAGAGCCACAAGUAUUGGUCCUGCAUGCAACGAUGUGCUUACUAAAAUAAUGUUCAGGCUCUGUUUUUGGAAUCUGUUGGCUUUGCAAACUCACUUGCAUUUAUUUAUUAUUAUGCAACAAGGAGGUGGUUAAAAGAAUAUUUUGUAGAGUUAAAUUCACAAACUUCUACUAGAGAUGUGAAGAUUCAAUAAACUCACUACAUUCUCAAUGCAGUCAAGCACAUCAAAGAAAAUGCAAACUAGGCCGUUGAGGUAUAUAUCACCAAUGCCUCUCAUGCUGACAGCAUAAUGUUUCUAAGAACAUAAGUACAAUGGGAUCGAGAAGGCUGGUCAUGAAUCCAUGGGGUCUCCAUUCUUCUGAUUGAGCAGGAAGGCAAUCACAUUUGUUUUGUUCUGUGGCAAACAAAAUGAUUGUUUAUGAUUGUUCCUUUAAAAUCAAUGCUUGUGGCUUUUAUUCUACUGUCAUAAUAUUGUAUUGCCAUCCUUUUAUUUCAGUGCCAGUGUGGCAGUGUCGAGGAGUUUUUGGCAUGUGCACUUUAGAACCCUUGGCUUGUCAGAUCAUCUUAAUUGAUUAUGAUGCACAUACAUGUGUUUGGAUAUGUUUCAGAGUAUACUAAUCUUUAAGGUAAUAAAAACUUUAGAUAUAUUGAAUAAGGAAAAUACAUAUUAGAAUGAAAUUGCCCCUUUUUGAUUUGUAAAUAGUAAAAGGAUUCCAAAUAUUAGCUUUUACCAUUUGAUUCUUUUGUGGUAUUAAAUUAUGUAGUGCAAAUAUGCAGAAGGCUAGUGCACAUUAUUUUAGCAACAAGCAACAUAACAGUGGAGAUUGCUUUCUUGCUUGUAGAUCGGAAUAAAUUGUAUUUCGCCUUCCAAAAUCAAUUCAAUUCUUAUUGUAAGUUAAUUUUCUUUCAAUUAUUUUGUAUUGAGAGGUUGGGUCUUUCCACAGCCUGUUGUACUAUCUUUUUCUACCUCAAUGAAAUGAUACACGGCUCUCCUGUGUAGUUCUAGAAAAGAGAGCAGGUUGAUUACUUCCCCUUUUCUCUGUUAUUUUGCAGAAGCACAUAUAGAAGCAGAAGACAAUUGUUUUUUCAAUUUUCACAUUUUUGGAAGCUCCAUUAAGACACUUUUUCUUUAUUCAAGAAGAGAGUAAUGAAGGCGGGGCAUAUCAAUGCGAGUAGCCAAAAGAAAUGAAGUGGUAUCAGGUGUGGAAAUUGGGCUUCGACGAUAUGAAGAGUGUUACAGUUCCUCGCACAAGAGCAAGUCCAAGAAGACGCAUAUGGAUAUCAGUGGUUGUAAUAUUUGUCACCAUCACUGUGUUAUGGGCUUAUCUUUACCCACCCCAGGAUUAUACCUAUCCUGUUAGGGACUGGUUUCCCUCAGAACCAACCCGGGAACUUACUGAUGCAGAGACUGCUGCACGUGUUGUCUUCAGACAGAUCCUCUCGACGCCUGCUUUCAUACCAAGGAACCCAAAAAUUGCCUUUAUGUUCCUGACCCCAGGAAAACUUCCAUUCGAAAAAUUGUGGGAGUUGUUCUUUAAGGUAUCCAUUGCCACUUUCCCUUGUGUAUAUUGAUGCAUACUUAGCAACUUUACACAUGAUAUUAAUUUUGUUACAGACUUUGGAUUUGCUGUCUCCAGAUACUGUUUGUGGGUCCUAAAGGAUGACUUAAUAAAAUACAAAUACAUUACUCCCAUUUAAAGUACAGAUGGUUACUGUGCAGUAAUUUUCUUUUCUAGAACUAUGCAAGAGAGAUGCUUUCAUUUCAUUAAGAAAAUGAGUACAAAAUGCACAACACCAAGACACCAGACAACAACCCAAUGCACUAGAUCAUAAAAAGCAAACACACCGGCUUCAAACAAAGCAAAUGAUCACAUUUUUUUUCUUGAAGGACAAUGGAGAGCUACAUGUCAUUUCAUUAAGCGAGAAAAAGAGAUAAAAAGUGAGGGUAAAACAGCCCCACCUGAAAACGACAAUAAAUGACCAAAAGAGAAACAUAUAAAAGGUCACAAACACUGGAGCCAAAAACACCAUAGGAUGUCCUCCUCUUCUACCAUCCUCACAAUCAAGGAAACACUUAGGACAGCAUUGUUGAAGACACAAUCAUUGCGGUGUUUCCAUAUCUCCCAUCCAAUAAGAUGUACAGUAAUUCACCAGUCAUAACUAAGAUCAAAAGAACAUUAGUUGUUCAUAGGCUGCAUCAUAUCUUUCUAUCUUUCAUUUCAUGAAAUGUGUUUUUUAUUGGCCAUUUUUUUAUUUAAAUGUGCUUAGAUCUAAACCAGAAUCAGAUUUUGUUAUAUUAACGGAUUUGCCCCUAAUACCAAACCACAACUGUACUUUGUUCUGAACCUAUUUUUCUCUUUACUGUCUUUGUGGCACCAUUUGAAUCAAAAGACCAAGGGAUAUAUCUUACUUCAUUUGUGUUUUCCAUGCUUAUCUCUCUAGGGACAUGAGGGGAGAUACACUAUAUAUGUUCAUGCUUCACGGGAGAAGCACGAACAUGUCAGUCCCAUAUUUGUCGGUCGAGACAUACACAGUGAGAAGGUAAUGCUAUUUAGGAUGAAGCCAUGCUGAGCAUGUAAAGCAUGUGUGUUUAUAAGAUCAUAAGGUAGUAAUCUGUUUUGAUUUACUAAGAUGUCUUAUAUGCCAACACCUUUUCUGCUUGACUUCUGAUGAAAUGGAUUCUAGUUCUUCAGAGUUUCCAGUGACAAUCAAUUUUACUUCACCAUUGUUCUUAUCUAGGUAUGCAUAUUGAAACACUUAAAUAGUACUUACUUACGGUGUAUAGGAAUAAAGGCACAGGAUGCAGUUUCAGAAUAUAUGCACAUUUAUGGUGAAAAAAUUAUGGUGACCACAGUUCCAAUUUUCUUAAAAAUAACUUGAUGCACAUAUAACAUGCACGUAUGUUUGAGCUGGAAGUAGAAAUUAUCUACAGAUUGUUUUCUAAUAUUAUCUGUAUUCAUAUAUCUGCAGAUAAUUCAAUUUGACAGAUUUGGUUCUGUCUAAGAAGUAUAGCCAGUUAGUGAGUAGAUAAUUAAUGUUUGCUGCACAUUGACUAUAUACCUGUACGUGUUCCGUAGGAUUCUGAUAUUGGCUAUUUCCUAGCAGGUAGGAUGGGGUAUGAUUUCAAUGGUUGAUGCAGAGAGGAGGCUGUUGGCAAAAGCUCUAGAAGAUAUAGACAACCAGCAUUUUGUAUUGCUUUCAGACAGGUGAUCUCCAUAUUCGAAAAUACUUUCUAGCAUGACGAACUCUCUCACUAUGUAACCAUUCCUCAUACAAUGAAUUCAGCUGUGUUCCUCUUCACAAUUUUGACUAUGUGUACGACUUCCUCAUGGGAUCAAGACACAGUUUUCUGGACUGGUGAGACAAUGCUCUGUCUGAACUAUGUUGCAUUCAUUCAUAUCGUUAAGCCAUAGCCUAGAGCAUUGCACAGAUCUUCAAUGCCGUAGUUCUUUAUAUACACUUGCCACAUUUUUUUUCAGCCAUUCACAUUCUUGUGUAUUUAUUGGCUAGUUUUCAUGACCCCGGGCCACAUGGAGUUUACAGAUACUCAAAGAAUAUGUUACCUGAAGUUUGGGAGUCAGAAUUCAGGAAAGGUUCUCAGGUGACCUUUGCCUCUUUCAAGUUCACAAAUUGUGGAUAUUAAGUAAUCUAUGUGCUAGAACGCUAGAAAUCAUUAUCAAUCUAUAAGAAUCAUCUUUUUUGUUGCAGAUAAUCUACUUUAUUUUAAAUAUCAAUAUUUAUUUCCCCAAAUACAUUGAAUUUAUGAGGUUUGUAUGGACUCCAAGUACUGAAAUGUGUCUACAAUACUAUUCUUUGAACAUUGCAGUGGUUCUCAAUGAAGCGACAACAUGCAAUGGUGGUGAUUGCAGACAGUCUUUAUUACUCAAAAUUCAGGCUUUACUGCAGGGUAAUCAAAUCUAAAUUUCAUGGCCUUCCAUGCAUAUACUGUAUACUUGAACACUAGCAUAGUAUAAUUUUGGUGUCGUCUUGUAGUCAUAGACAGCAUGCACUACGCGUUCUAGCUUUCAGUUCACUCUUCUGUCAACUGAUUAACUGUUUCUCCCAAAAUCUAGAUCCUCCACUUUACCACUACUGCUAUUCGUGCACAUUUUUCCAUCUGUUCUUUGCACUUGUGAACAUCACUCUGUUAGUGUCUCCUAAAUAAAUCAGCGAAAAUUGCUCGAAACAAGGAACUUCUCUUGUAGGUCCUAUUGCUUGAUUUCCACUAUUGUUUGAUUUCAUUCUGUUACGUUGAUAGCACUACCUUGCUGAAUAAUUUGUGUCUUUGGUUGUGCUUUGUGCCCUUCGCAUGUGCUUUGUGCCCUUCGCAGCCCGGAAUGGAAGAAGGUCGCAAUUGCUAUGCAGAUGAGCAUUAUCUGCCAACACUAUUCCACGUUAGUAACGAUCACAUAAUGUUACUAUAUAUUUUAAGAGAAUCUGAUUGUCAAUAAUGUCUUCUAGGUACUGAUGUCAAGGCUCUCAUAUGUAUUGAACAGAUGAUGGACCCUGCUGGCAUUGCUAACUGGUCUGUCACCUACGUUGAUUGGUCUGAAGGAAAGUGGCAUCCCAGAUCUUUCCGAGCUAAUGAUGUCACUUAUGAACGCCUGAAGAAUAUGACUGUACGUUUACCUUUAUUUUGUGUCAUCUUAACAUGAUACAUAUGAUCCUUUUAUGUCUCUAACUUCCAUCUUGCUGCAGUCGAUUGAUGUGAGCUACCACAUCACCAGUGAUGAGAAGGUCUCUUCCUCCCAAGCUAUCUGAAUUAAUUUAACCAUUGAUGAUUUAUUUGAAAGACAAGCCUGAAAAUUGCAUUUAUUUACUGAAUUAAUUAUACUACCAUGUUGAUUUAUCAUAUAUGUUGCAUUAUUUGCACAUGAUAAGUCGGGGUACAAUAUAAUAUAUAUACUAUUAGGUUCUAAGCGUAUAGUCCUAUCAGUUCCGUCAAGUUGCAAAUCAAGCAAAGUGCACACUCAUCAUUGCCUCAAGUUCAGGUGUCAUACUUUUAUUUUGAUUCCUAGUGAGAGUGAUCUGUUCUCCCAUUUUUUCCUUUUGUGUAUGGUUUAAGAAAAUCUUCAGCCCACGUUCUCUUUUCAGUUGCAACCUGUGUGGCUGUGUGGAGUAAUUGUGUUUUCUUUGAUGUCAACUUAAAUAUUGGGAGAAACACUGGACGUCCAAUAAUGCUUAUAUUCUUGAUGUUGACUGCAGAAAGAGCUCUUGCAGAAGCCUUGCCUGUGGAAUGGACUUAAGAGACCAUGCUACUUGUUUGCAAGGAAAUUUUACCCUGAAGCAUUAGACAAUCUUGUGAACUUAUUCUCAAACUACACAAUUUUCUGAGUUCUACAGCAGGAAGCAUACACAUUUUUGGAAGCACUGGUGUUUAUGUUCUUUGUACAUUGGUGGGGGAGCAGAUAUAUUGACACUAACUCAAUAUAUAAUAGGGAACAAGUAUUAGACAAUUGUUUCACCCAUAAACUGUUUUAGGAUUAUAUUCUUUUUAUAUAGGUUUUCAGCGUUACUCUUUUUUUUGUGUCUCCUGACAAUAGCUAAUUAUGUUAAAACUGUCAUUUGUGCCAAUUUUUUCAUUAAACCUUGCUCAAAAGAAUGUGUAAAGAAAAUUUCCAUGUGUGGUCCAUGAUGCAGAUGCCCUUCACUGAAUGUGCAAAGAUCGGUUGUAUCCAAAAACAUAUCUUGGCUAUGGCCUAAAGCACUAAUGGUAUCAUUAUGAGUGUACAAGCUAAAAGCGUAAAACAAUGAGAACCUAGAAACAUACAUACCCAGUUAAAGUGGAAUAUGAUUGCUUCACAGCGUCUAAUAAGGACACAAUCUAAUAGAUCAUUACAUCAUGUAGUUGGUAACCAUAAAAAUGGAUGCAUGUGCAGCAACAACAAACUAUUAGAAAUCUGCCAAUCCACAUGAUGAGGUGUGUGGACAAAGGGAAGUUAUUUCUUCCCUGUCGACCACUAUGACUAUGACAACAUGACAAAUUAAAUCAAGACAAAGAAAUGAUAACCAACAAUGCUCUGUACCCGGUGAUGCUAUGUCCACAAUGAAUGAAGGAAAUAAAUCAGUUACAUAGUUGUAGCCCUGUAUUCAGAUUCAAUAGCAGUAGAUGGAUGUAGUUCUUAAUUCGAAAAGCCACUUUUCCAAUUAAUACAUCAGAUUCAUAACCUUGGAUCAAGGCCUAUUCAGGGGAAACUAUUAAACCCUAGGUUGUGUGCAUAUAAUCUCAGCCAACAUACGCAACACAAUACUUUAGCUAAUACAUGGAAAUGUAUAUGAAUUUUGUCUAUCUAUCAAUAAAUGCAUGCACCAGUAGGUGAAUGUCAAGAAGUAGUCUUUUGUCACCGCAUAUUGUGGUAUUUGCGGUGAAUUAUCAUAUUAAUGAAGUAGUCAUGCAUUACAAUAGUAACUCCAAAUUUCCUUGCAAACACAUCUCUCUUAAUUAUUUCUUCGCUUGUAUCUGCAAUAACAUUCAAGUAAUGCCCCUUGAUUUCACCAAUUUUGGCUUGUGCUUUAUAAAUUGCAUAUGCACAAAAGAUAAAAUAAUCUAUCCAGAGCAUAAAUGGUUGUGGUUUAAAUUUUAGUAAAAUCAAGUUCAACAUGUAGACACUAGUCAACAUGCUCUAUCGCAAUUUAUUUUUGGAAAUAAUGCCAAUUUUGUGUUUAAUAAUACAUUGCAGUAAAGGACUGCUUGUUCAGCUGCUUAUGUAUUUCAACUUGGAUACACCCUGUGGCAGACCUUGGGGAAGUUUUUUAAAAAAGUUGGGGAAAUUCAUAGAAGUAGCGUGGGUUUCCAUUCACUAGCACAAACUACACAAAGAUGCUCUUUAUUUUAACCUUAAUAUUAUACACCAAUGACAAGUCUCUCAAUACCCACCUAUGGUAAAUCCCAGUUGAGAAAGCAAAGUAAAAUCACUCGACAGUGUGUCCCAUACUUCCUUCCUAGCAGUCUAUAAUGCAGCAAUGCUGCUAGUGAUAGGCUUAGCUUAAGCUACUAACAUUUAAUUCCAUAAAUAACCACUGCAGAAAAUAUUAAUUUUUUUGGAGGUAGUCAAAAUGAUUUGCAGAAGCGGCUCGAAAAACCACCUCUAGUCAAGUGUAUUUAGAAAUCAUCGAUCUGUAGAGGCGGAUAUCUAGACGUAUCUAGAAAUUAAUUUCUAUAUGGGAGGCUGGAUUACCUCUAGAAUUUAAUUUAUAGAGGAUGUCAACAAGGUGGUUUGACUCUAUAAAUCAUUUUACAGAAUUCACAAAUAAGGUAAAAAAGAAAAAAAAGGAAAAAGGUCAAGCCCAUCAGAUAAUAUGUGUCACAAAGUCAUAAGUCGCACGAUUUUCAUACAUGUGUAGUUUUGGGGGCCUGAACUUAGGUCAGGCCUCCUCAAAGUGACUUGUGAUCAAGUAUAGUAUGCAAUUAUUUUUGUAUAAACUUUCAUGAAUUUUGUAUUGAAUAGUUUGGCCCCUAAUAACGAUUUCAAAUGGUAAAAUUUUUAAUAUGGAAAGUUUUAGAUGUCACUGAGCACUACAUCCGUUUAAAAAGAUAAAUAAUGUAAAUUUGAAAAUGUAAGAACUUAAAACACAAUUUGGGACUACAAAUGAUUUGAUAUGAAAAGGUUGUCAACUACAAAAUUGUAGAUCUCUUCAAAUUGUACAACUUUGGUGCAGAGUUUGUCUUCCUUCUUUUUGGCGAAUAGGUGCCAAGUUUGUCUUGCAGCUUGAUUUCAAACAGCUGUGAAUUUUUUCUAUUGAACCUAUUUUUAGAGGUAGCUAAACACCAACCACCUCUAAAAUAUAUUGAUAGAGGUGGACCAUCUCAGAGGAAAAAAAUUAGAGACGAUUCUUAAUAGAGCUGUCUCUGGAAAAAACAUAGUCAUCUCUGAAAAUCAUUUAGAGCAUCCCUACGAGUUUGGCAAAACAACUUCCUAUUUUAAUAUUUUAGCAAAAGGAGAAAAAAACUCCUCCAAUAGUUUGGUAAAAGGGAGUCCCUUAAAAAUAGAAAGUUGUCAAAUAUCCUCUUCAACUCAUAAAUUUUCAAACUCGAUAGAACUCCCUAUCUCUCUUUCUUGGACCUAUUUUCACGGCACUUCUCGCAUGGCCCUCGGGUCCAGCCGCUGCUGGUAUGUACCAGCCUCCAUUGCCGCUGUCCUAUGGGUCAACGUUGUCUCUCCGUGCUUGUCUCUGCGGGCAUUUAUUGAUCUUUGGUUCGAAAGUAUGGCAUGCUGUCUUCACUUGUGCAUGGCCUACUAUCUUCAUAUAUGCUCAUAGCUUGCAUUGACCGGAAGGCAUGGAGGCUAGACAUGCCUUGCUGACCGUACACAGCUGGUGCUCGCGUCAAGAUGCAAUUUUCUUUUAUUUUUGUAAACAACAUAAUAAACCAAAAAUAAUUAAAUGUGAGCCCUAAAAAUUAAGAUUGCUAUUUUUUUUGUUAACUUGCUAAAUUGAUUAGUUUAGUAAGUAAAUUAUACCAAACUCAUAUUGGAGAUGUUCUUAUGUAGCUGUGAAUAAAGUCCCUUCUGUCGGUUUGCUCAGGUAACAUUCUCUUAUUUUCUGUAACGUUGAGUUGUCCUAGUUUGAGAAAGCAGCCGCUAAGCACAUCAUUAAUAAACCAAUGACUUAAGAGGAGCACACAGGACACUUGAGGUGCACAUUACCUGCAUGAGAGUACACCCGAGAUUGAUCUCCUUUCAAUAUAUCUGUGAGAGUAGACAUAUAUAGAGAGUAGACCUCAUGAGCAUGAGGUGCACCUCAACACUAUCUAGAAGGUUAGAGCCUACUCGGACAAUCUGUCAAGGCAUAUGUACGUAGGAAACCGUCCAUAUGUGUUCUGCUUCUAGUUAGUGCUAUCCAAAGAUGGUGACAAUUGUGCAUGCUAUUCUAGGAACUAUCCAAGUGAUGUACCGGGGGUCGUCACUACAAUAGAUAAGGUCUUUGGACGAUUGCCAAAAUCGCUAAUAGUCUCGGCAGUUUUGGUCCUCAGGACUAAAGACCCUUUUAGUCCCGUUCCAGGACUAAAGGGUCCCGCCCAAUGGCUGCUGCGAAGAAUUGUCAGGGCAGGGACCCUAUAGUCCCGGCUCGUGUUACGGGCCGGGACUAGGCCCUGUUUAGUUUCCUACCUAAAAAUUUUUCGUCCAUCCCAUCGAAUCUUUGGACACAUGCAUGAAACAUUAAAUGUAGAUAAAAAAUAAACUAAUUACACAGUUUGGUUGAAAAUCGCGAGACGAAUCUUUUAAGCCUAGUUACUCCAUGAUUAGCCUUAAGUGCUACAGUAACCCAUAUGUGCUAAUGAUGGAUUAAUUAUACUUAAUAGAUUUGUCUUGCAGUUUUCUGACGAGCUAUGUAAUUUGUUUUUUUAUUAGUUUCUAAAAACCCCUCCUGAUAUCCUUCUGACACAUCCGAUAUGACACCCAAAAAAUUUUCAUCCCAAUCUAAACAGGGCCCUCUAUUCCCGGUUGGUGCCACCAGCCGGAACUAAAGAUUUAGGCCUGGUUGGUGGCUUGCCCCAAGACUAAAAUGAUCCUUUUUAGUCCCUGUUUUUACUUCCAGUGAGGACUAAAGGUGCACGGAUUAUAUCCGGUUGGUGACUUGCUCCGGGACUAAAAUAACCCUUUUUAGUCCCCGUUUUUACUUCCAGCGAGGACUAAAGUUGCACGGAUUAUAUCUUUCUCCCUUCUUCCUCCCUGAGACCGAGCCCAUUCAAAAUUCAGUGAGUUUGUUCCCUCUCUUCUUGCUUGCCAUUGCUUGUUCUUGUUUUUUCUUGCUUGUUCUUCAUCUCUGGUGCCCAUUGGUGAUCUUCUUCAACGCCAUCAUCAUUUCCUCGGGUCUAGGGGUAACUAACUUCAUUCGCUCUUAUCUUUUUGAUGUGAUUUUUUUGUUUUUGUGAUUUCUCCUCCAUUUUAAGCUCAAAAUCAAUGGUUAUAGUUUGAUCGACAUCGCCGACACCCAUUGGUGAUCUUCUUCGACUCCGCCAUCGACUCUUCGUGUUUAGAGGUAACUAGCUUCAUCCUCCCAUGUCAUUUUCAUGUUGUUUUUAGAGGUAACUAUCUUCAUGUUGUUUUUAUCCUCCCAUUCAUCCUCCCAUCGACUCUUUGGGCUAGAUAGUAUCCAUUAUAUUUUUUCAUGCUUAAAACAAGACAAGUAUAGAAUUUUAUUAUUAAUGUCUUUUUAGUUACUUUUCUUUAGAAAAUAUUGUGUUUAUAGUAGUUUUCAACAAUAAAUAUAGAUAAUAGAAAAAAUUAAAAUAAAAUCAUGCAUAGUUUAAAGAAAUGAGUAUGGAUAUAGUAGAUGACAACCGUGACCAGGUCCUCAGUCUCUCAUCUCCGGGAUCCAAAGCGUCUGCGGCUGUAUCUUUCUCUCAUUGCUUGCGGUGAGUGUAAGCAAAAGAUUGUGAAGGAGUACCGAGUGAAAAAAGAGGAAAUCAACAAAGAUCGUAUAUUCUACAAGUGUCCGGACCGUGAGGUGGGUUAUUAUUUCCCCGCAUUUGAUUAAUAUGGUUAAUUUGUACUGGUUUUGCUUGAUGAUGUUAUUUAAAUUCCUUAUUCUUUGUUCUAAUUGCAGUGGGAGGGCACCAGCGGAUGUAAAGGUUGGUACUGAGAGGAAGAGUACGUUCAACACAUACAAAAUUCUAUUACACAGGAGAUUGCUGCUGAAGGUGAUGAGGCAGUGAGCCAGCGGAAGAAGUCCAUCGAUAUUGAUCUAGUGGAUGUGCAGCUGUCUGUUUUAGUUGGGAUAGCAUGAGAACUAAUUAUAUUGCUUAAGUGCAUUUUAGUUCUACUUUUUUUAUUGCUAGUUGCGGUUGUGUUUGUUGUAGUCAGGCUUGCUUGAAUUAAUCAAUCUUGUGAUGUCAUGCGUGUUGUGUAAUAACAUGAGGAACUAAGUGCAUGGUUGUAAUAUUUAAUACAGAUGUUGUCACAUAAUUUGAUGUAUAAUAUCGAUCACCGCUCCAAAGAGUUCAUUGCUGGCGUGCACUAUUCCUUAGGUGUGGCUGAGACAAACAAGCAGAAUGGUUUCAUGUGCUGCCUAUGCGCCGUCUAUAAGAAUUUGAAGGAAUAUUCAUGCUCAAAGACUCCAUCCACACUUGUUAAAGUUGUGUUUCGUACCCAGCUAUAUUUAUUGGAUGAAGCACGGAGAAAGGAGGGUUGUAAUGGAUAAUGAUGAAGAAGAUGAAGAAUUGGACCACACUGAUAUUAUUGCCCGGUACGGUGUCUUUGAUGAUGAUGCAAUGGAGGGAGAUGAUGAAGAAGAUGCGGCAGCAGCAGAAGACAUGGCAGCUGAUGCUGAUGCUCUUGGUGAUACCAUUCGCGAUGCACAAAGAGAGUGUAAAAGUGAAAAGGAGAAUGCCAAGUUCGAGCGCAUGCUAGAGGAUUAAAGGAAAUUGCUUUAUCUGACUGCUGAAGAUGGGCAAAAAAAGCUACGUACAACACUAGAACUGCUGCAAUGGAAGGCAAAGAAUGGUACAUUCGACAAGGCAUGUAGGCAGUUAUUAAAGAUCAUGAAAAGAUACUUCCGAGAGCAAAGGAAUUGCCCACCACUACGUAUGAAGCAAACCAGGUUGUCUAGCCCUUAGGAUUAGAAAUCCAAAAGAUACACGCAUGUCCUAAUGUCUGCAUCCUGUACCGUAGGGAGGAAUACGAGAAUUUGGAUGCAUGCUCCGUAUGCAAAGCAUCGCGGUAUAAGAUCACGCGAGAUGAUCCUGGCAACGUUGAGGGUGAAGAAUGUCCCAGCAGGAAGGAAAUCCCUGCCAAGGUCAUGUGGUAUGCUCCUAUAAUACCUCACUUGAAAUGUUUGUUUAGAAAUAAAGACAAUGCAAAGUUGUUGUGGUGGCAUAAAGAAGACCAUAAGGUAGACAAUAUGCUGAGGCACCCUGCUGAUGGAGCCUAGUGGAGAGCGAUGACAGAGAAUUCCUAGAGUUUACAGAUGUGGCUAGAAACUUGAGGUUCGCUUUAAGUACGGAUGGUUUUAAUCCUUUUGGGGAGCAGAGCAGCAGUCAUAGCACUUGGCCAGUCACUCUAUGUAUCUACAACCUUCCUCCAUGGUUAUGCAUGAAGCGGAAGUUUAUUAUGAUGCCUGUGCUCAUCCGAGGGUUGAAGCAACCUGGCAAUGACAUCGAUGUCUACCUAAAGCCAUUAGUUGAGGAACUUCUUCUUCUAUGGAGCAAGCUAGGUGUACGCAUGUGGGACGAGUACAAACAGGAACACUUUAACCUACAAGCAUUAUUGUUCGUCACAAUCAAUGACUGACCUGCUCUAAAUAAUCUUUCAGGCCAGACAAACAAGGGAUACAAUGCAUGCACACACUGUUUCAAAGACCUUGAUAGUAUAUUUUUAAAAAAUGUCAAAAGAUCAUGUACAUAGGCCACCAUCAGUUUCUUCAUGUGGGCCACCCAGUAAGAAAGAAAGGGAAACAUUUUAAAGGCAAGGCAGACCACCGAACCAGGCCUCGUAACCGAAACGGGGAUGAUAUAUUCAAAAUGGUGAAGGAUACAUAAGUAGUAUUUGGUAAGGGACAGGGCAGCAAACUGUUCCCAAAGACACUCAGGGACAAGCAUCCCUGUGAAAAAAGAGGUCCAUACUCUAGGAGCUACCCUACUGGCAUGUCCUAGAGGUCCGCCAUGUGAUCGACGUGAUGCACAUGACAAAGAAUCUCCAUGCGAACCUUCCUAGAUUCAUGGGUGUGUACAGGAAGCCUACAGAUUCACUUGAAGCACGACAGGACUUGCAAGAAAUGAAAGAACGACACAACCUGCAUCUAGAGAAGACAGAUGACGGGCGCAAGUACUUAAGCCCUGCUAGCCACACUCUGAGCAAAGAAGAGAAGGAAAGCAUGUUUGAAUGCCUGAACAAUAUUAAGGUCCCAUCUAGAUUCUCCUCCAAUAUAAAGAGAAUAAUUAAUGUUCAAGAGAAGAAGUUCCUAAACUUGAAGUCCCAUGACUGCCACGUGCUUAUGACGCAACUGCUUCAUGAUGCUUUAAGAGGAAUUCUACCUCCGUAUGUACGUCUAGCCACCAUGAAGUUAUGUGCAUUCCUCAAUGCAGGGGCGAAGCUAGCUGUUACUUAGGGGGUGCAAAUGCACCCCCCAAAAUUUGUAAAAACAGUGAUUAGAUCCAAAAUUUCACCAUAUAUGCACCCCUAUGGAAAAUGUCUAUGCACCCAUAAGCUAAGUGCACCCCCCUCUAAUUUGCUCUAGCUUCGCCACUGCCUCAAUGCAAUUUCUCAGAAGGCAACCAAUCCACAUGAACUUGCUACUCUACAGAAUGAUGUUGUUUAAUGUCUUGUCAGCUUUGAGUUGGUGUUCCCUCCAUCCUUCUUUGAUAUCAUGACACACCUCCUAGUUCACCUGGUCAAAGAGAUUAUAAUUCUCGGUCUUGUGUGUCCUACACACCAUGUUCCCCUUUGAGAGGUUCAUGGGUGUUGUGAAAAAUAUAUUGUCACAACCGCUCUCAGCCAAAAGGAAGCAUCGCCCAGGCUACGGCAUGGAGGAGGUCAUAGAGUUCUGUGUUGACUUUAUUCUAGACCUUGACCCGAUUGCUGUUCUUAAAUCACGACACGGGGGUAGACUCAGUGGCAAGAGGACACUAGAGAAGAAAACAUAUAUCGGUACGAAGAGCGAAUACUUCAAUAAAGCACACUACAUAGUUCUGUAGAACUCAUCACUGGUGGAUCCGUAUAUCGAGGUACAUAAGGCUUUCACUCGAUCUGAGUGGCCUCGGAAGAAUGAAGCUUGGAUUAGACGAUGGAAACCUUCGGUGAUUGGUUGCGAAAAGAAUGUCACUGUGAUGAAAACAUAGAUGAGCAACUUUAUUUGUUGGCCAGGCAGCCAUCAUGGCAUAUCAGCAUGUACAAAGGGUACGAGAUCAAUGAGAAUACAUUUUACACAGUAGCCCAAGAUAAAAGGAGCACCAACCAAAACAAUGGUGUACGAGUAGAUGCCAUAGAUCCAAAUGGGAACAAACAAACAUAUUAUGGCCAAAUACAUGACAUAUGGGAACUAGACUACGCAGCAAAUUUUAAAGUUCCUUUGUUCCGGUGUAAAUGGGUAAAGAUGACCGGAGGUUGGGUAAUAGUCGACAAGGAGUACGGGAUGAUAACCGUGGACCUUAGGGUACAAAGAUGAACCUUCGUCCUUGCUGCGGAUGUGAGUUCGGUGUUCUAUGUGAAAGACAUGUCUACAAAACUAAAAAGAGGAAAAAAUGAUGACAACUCGAAAGUCAACCAUGAGCCAAAGUGCCACUUAAUUCUUCUCGAAAAAAGAAACAUUGUCGGAAUUACGGACAAGUCAGACAUGUUAGGUGAUUAUGAAAGGGAUGAUCGAAUUAUGCCAUUCAAAGUGAACAAAGACCCAAUCAUUUUGUUAAACAAUGAGAACACUCCAUGGUUAAGGGAUGAUCAUAACCAAAGGUCAUAUGUCAAGAAGAAGUUCACUGUUGUGCCCGCAUGAUAGUGGGUUGUAAAGAUAUUAUGUAAUAAUUAAUUAAUUGAGACUUUGUUUGACAAUGGAUUUAAAUUAAUAUAUGUUCAGUAGUGAUCAUUGAUUUAUGUGGUCCUCUAGGUUAUAAAUAAAAGAUUAACUUUCAAAUAAUAUGGAAAUAAAUUUUCUGUUACAAACCAACAAUUGUUUGAAUUAUAGUUGAACAAUAUAUAUUUGCAUUAAUAAAAUACUUAAUAUUAGAGACAUUUGUGUUUAAUAUUUUCAAAAAAACAAAGAGAUUUUAAGUUAAAAUUUUUACUGUGUAAAUUAAAGCAAAAGUAAACACAUAUUAUUUUUUAAAGAAAUAACUUUAAGUAUUUAAUUUUAUGUACAUUUAACAAAGUUUUAGCCUUAAAUAAAAAGAAACUAAUUUAAAAACCUAAAACUAAUGUAACCGGCGGGUUCUGGAAAAUUUCAAGUCUUUAGUCCUGGGCCGUGGUAAGGCCCGGGACUAAAGGCUCUAAAAUUGUUCACAGCCCGCACGUGGGGGACCUUUAGUCCCGACUGGUGGAUCGGGGCGGAACUAAAGGCCCCAACUUUUUCCAUAUCCCGCGCGUGGGGGAUCUUUAGUCCCAGCUGGUGGAUCGGCCUGGGACUAAAACCAGCUGAGACUAAAGGGUCUUUAGUCCCGGUGCUAGCCACCGUUUGGGACUAAAACCCCAUCACUAUAAAAAGUUUGUCUUCCCAUCGCCCCCAAGAUCAGCCUCACACGCCUAAGUCCCCUCAUCUUCUCUGUCUGCCGCCGUUGCUGCGCACCUCGAGCUCGAGCACCGCCACGCGCCCCUGUCUUCUCUGGCCACGUGCCCCUGUCUUCUCCGGCUGUGAGCCCCCAUCUUCUCUGGCCACGCGCCUCGAGCUCUUGGGCACCGCCGCCCCCACCGCGCGCGCUCCUCGGCGGACACGCCGUCAUGACACCGCUGUCGUCGAUCUACACUACGCCCCCGUCUUCACCGGCCACCGCCGCACGCGCAUCCUCCGACUACCAUCGCAAGUGUAUAUAUAUAUGAGCAUUGAAAAAUUGAUUAUUGUAUAUCUAUAUAUAUGAGCAUUGAGAAAUAAUUAGUGUAUAUAUAUUAAUUAUAGACUCACAAGUAUAUAUAAGAAUUUAGAUAUAGCUUAUAUUGUCUAUGUUAAAUGUAUUUUUUUUCAAAAGUUUAUAUAUAUUGUCCAUGUUAAAUGUCUAUGUUAAAUAGCUUAUAUAUAAAUUAUCAAAAGUUUAUAUAUAGAUUAUAUUGUCAAUGUUAAAAUGCCUUUUUUAAUAUAUAGUCUUAUAAUUUGAUUAGUAUAGACUUUUCUAUAUAUAGCUUUUUAUAUAUAGGCCUUGUUUAGAUCAAAAAGUUUUUGGAUUUUGACACUGUAGCACUUUCGUUUUUAUUUGAUAAACAUUGUCCAAUCAUGGAGUAACUAGACUUAAAAGAUUCGUCUCGCGAUUUACAAGCAAACUAGGCAAUUAGUCUUUGUUUUUAUCUAUAUUUAAUGCUCCAUACAUGUGCCGCAAGAUUCAAUGUGACGGAGAAUCUUAAAAGGUUUUUGGUUUUUGGGUGAACUAAACAAGGCCAUACUUGACUAGUAUAUAGUUUUUUAUAUAGCUUUUAUAUAUAUAGAGAAUGGCCAACCCGAGGGAUCAACAAAUGGAUGAUGAGGCCAUCAUGAUGAAUCUCAUCGCUGGUGGUGAUAAAUAAAUCGAGGGUGAUGAUGACGGGAGUAAGUACUUGCGGGCAGAUUACGAAGAGAUCAUGCAGGGAUCCCCCCCGCCGCUUGAUGAGCAACAAAUUGUCGAGCAAGCCAAUACUGGCGAGGUAUAUUACAUGCUUAUGAGGGAUCAGGGUUAGGGUUUAGGAUUUAGACUCUAUGGUCUAUUGCAUCUUGUAUUAAUUUUAUCUUCGUGUCUUUACAUAUAUAGCCCUCUGGAUCGACAUCUACGACCGGGACGAGGGCCGAGGAAGCCGUUGGAGGGCCUUCACGUAAUCUCUGAAUUCGACGAGCCUAUAGACCAACCACUAGGACCACAUGCACAGAAAUAUGUCGGUCAUUGGGGUUAUCUUGUGAGAGACAGGAUACUGAUCAGUGCUCGAGAAUAGAAAAAGAAGCCAAGUGCUCCACACAUCAGUUUUGUCUCCGAUCGUGAUAAGGAGGCAGUAUGGACUGACAUCAGAGAGCAUUUCAUGUUUGACACGAACGAUGAGGAGCUGAAGAGGAGAAUCUAGGAGUGGAUAAUGAAGAAGAUGGCAACACUUUUCCAAAGAAGAACUUGUACAACAAGUUUAUCAAGAAGAACAAGACGCCGGAUUUCAACACUAAGGCGUAUGUCAAGCUGAGACCCUUUUGGAAUGAUUUCGUGCAGUACAAUAUAUAGGAUGCAUUUUUCGUACUCCUAGGAGUAGUUACUCCUGUCUUCAAUAAACCAUAUUACGUAUGUGUUCAUAUUUGUUUAUCGGUUUGAGUAUGUUUAUAUACUCAUAUUAAGAUCACUAGUACAUAGAUGCUUUAAGCCGGCGGGGGUAAAAAAUUUGCAUAGGCGGUUUUAAUUAUAAUGCGUCUGUGUUGUAAAUUUGUACGGCCAGAAUUAAAAACCACCUGUAUAAAAGGCUCAGUACAGGCGGUUAUUGUAAGAAAACCGCCUGUGUAAAUGGUUCAUUUACACAGGCGGUUCAGUUAUGUGAAGCGCCUGUGUUAAUAUAUUUACACAGGCGGUUCACAUAACUGAACCGCCUGUGCUUUAUCUUCCUAUAAAUACCCCCACCCCCUUCUUCCUUCUCGGGCAGAACUGUAGCUCGCAGCCACCUUCCAUUGUAGCCCAUCUUGGAGGUCCAGAUUUUCCAAAAUACAAGGGAGAGGUUUUGAACUUCAUUUCUUGGAAGGAGGUGGCUAAGAAAGGUUAGUUGAUGCCUCAAAUGCCUCUUUUUGUGCCCUCUUACUCAAUUUGAGCUACUUUUUGGAUCUAGGGUUUCACCAUGAGAGGGAGAGAAUAGAAUAGCUAGGUAUGGUCUAUAUUUGCUCAAAUGAGGUUGCUUAAGAUGGUUAGAUGAUGUCUCUCCUCUCUUCUUUUUUAUGUUUCCUUCUCUAAUUAGUGAAUCCAAGAAAUAUAUAUGUAGUAGUUUCCAUGAAUGGUGUUUCCAUGCUUGGAAAGAGAGAGAAAGAUAAGUUUUUACCAUAUAAAUUUUUUUGAAGGAAUCCAUAUUUUUUAAUAUAUUACUAAAAUACCACUACUGUACUAUAUAUAAUAAGUAUAACCACAUACUCCAUGUAUGCAUACAUACUUAGGCCUUGUUUAGUUCCAAAAAAAAUUGAGAAAUCGACACUGUAGCACUUUUGUUUGUAUUUGGCAAAUAUUGUCCAAUCAUGGACUAACUAGGCUCAAAAGAUUCGUCUCGUCAAUUUCGACCAAACUGGGCAAUUAGUUUUUGUUUUCGACUAUAUUUAUUACUCCAUACAUACGUCAAAAGAUUCGAUGUGACGGAGAAUCUGAAAAAUUUUGCAAAAUUUUUUGGAAACUAAACAAGGCCUUAACAUACAUAUCACCUUAGAUGGUCUAGUAUGAUCAUAUACUUCAUCUACAUACAUCUCGUUCGGUCAUAUACACCCUAAAUCUAGAGAUAUAGAUAUGAGAGUAACUACUCUUGAGAGUACAAAGUAAUAUAUAUAUAUAUAUAUAUAUAUAUAUAUAUAUAUAUAUAUAUAUAUAUAUAUAGGGAAAUUACUUUAUACACGUACGUGUAGUUACUCUCAUCUUCAAUAAACUACAUUGUGUAUGUAUUCAUACUUGUUUAUCAGUUUGAGUAUGUUUAUAUACUCAUAUUAAGAUACUCUAGAUCUUACCACGCGAAAAUUGUUCAAAAAAAAUUAUAUUUUAAAUAUAUUACUAAAAUACCACUACUAUAUUACAUACAAUAAGUAUAACCAUAUACUCUAUGUAUGUAUGCAUACUUAACAUACAUAUCACUCUAGAUGGUCUAGUAUGAUCAUAUACUUUGUCUAUAUACAUUUCGUCCGGUCAUAUACACAUACAUAGAUGAGAGUAACUACACGCACGUGUAAAAGAAACGCGUAUAUAUAUAUAUAUAUAUAUAUAUAUAUAUAUAUAUAUAUAUAUAUUAGCAGCAAAGAAUACAUAUUGGAAAACCUAUUAAAUAAAUAAAUAAAACUAAAAACAGAACUGAAAAAAAGAAAAAAAAAACCAGAGGACCGUUUAGUCCCGACUGGUAUUACCAGCCGGGACUGAAGGGUGCUACUGUGUGGAAAUACUGGCAGCACCCUAUAUUAGUCCCCGCUGGUAAUACCAACCGGGACUAAAGGCGGGGCUUUAGCCCCUGUGCCGUGCGCCGUGACUAAAGACGGUCUCGGAAGCGUAGUCCCGGCUCGAGAUCCGGGGCUAAAGCCCCUUCCCGGCCGGGACUAAGCCGAUCGUGUAGCAGUGCAUCCAUCCAAUCAGGACAAAAAUGAGCCUGUCUAUAGUCUGCUUUGGACUAUAUGUUGUGGACCGACCAAGAACAUACGCAUACAGUCCGUAGGAUCAGGGCUGGGGCUCUAAGUUUCUAAAAAAAAAACAAUUGUUGUAUAGACCGUUCAGUGCAUGUGUCCCUGACUGUCUAUGAGUUCUCGACAAAUACUCAAUUUUUUGUAGGUUCUGGUUGGUCACUCAGACCAUACUUGAGGUAGUCAUGCAUGGACCUUUCGAUCGAGUGUUUUAGACAAAAAAAAAACUGCUAUAAUUCUCUGUACAGGACUAUCUUGAAAAUGUUGUUAGACCAAUUUGUCAGCCACUGUGAAGGCACUGAGGCUCACCCUCGAGCUUGCGGAGAGUGGAUAUGGCAUCUUCUUGUUGGGCUUGUUUCCUAAUAAGUUGUUAGAGAGAUCUAUAUGACACAUCUAGCAAGGCACAUUAUUGUGAAGCUCUAAUGACAUCCAUCGGUAGCCUACCUUAUUCGUGAGAUUAAUACAGUAUUGGGUAAGGUUUUUUAGCUUAGCUUUCCUAGGAUCAGUGGCGGACCCAGGAUUCGACCAAGACUAGAGUCAAAUCCUAGUGGCGAAAAUCCAAAAGCUACAACCUAUAGUAUAGUUUAUAGGACCAUAUAUAUACAAAGUUUGCAAAUUCAGAUAAAUUCUUGAACUAUAUAAUUAAUAAUACGAUACAAUAGCUAAGAAAUAUCAAUGAACAUUGAAAAAUAAAUACCUAUUGUCUAGUGAAGAUUUAUUGAAUUCGCUCAAUCACUACUGAAAAAUCAAGAGAAAAAAAAACUACUGAACUACUAAAAUAUUAAAGAACUACCUUCACUCGAUCACUGCCGAGGGGGUCAGCCGGGCAGCCGGCUAGGCCACGCCCUGCGCUGCACGCCUGCGUCCCUACGGCCCUGCCUCGUGGCUCCUGCGGCGCUGCCUACUUGCGCGCUGCGCCUUUGGUGGUCGGCUGGCCGCCGCAGCCGCGAGCUGGCGCCAGUGAGCCUGCUCGGCUGCGCUGCAUCUGCUUGUCUACGCUGCAGCAGGCGCCCACGGGCCACGGCCACGCCACGCUCAGGUGAGUGAGGGUAUGAGUUCUCUCCCUGUCUGUCCUAGUUCUUUUCUUUAAUGGACUUCUAUUUUUGGUCAAAUCUAAAGAGUUGCUUUUAAAUUUUUUGUGCCACGACUAGGGCCAUGGCCCUACUGGCCAUAGGCCUGGGCCUGCCUCUGCUUAGGAUGUAGGAUAGUGCUCACCACAUUAUAUUGGAUCUGCAAGAAACAUAAUAUGGGACCCUAGGUUUUAGUGCAGGGCUCCUUCUUUCUGUGCAUAGGUGUCAGAUAGCUUAAAACUUGUGCGCAUGUUUUAAAUUCUGAGUGUCUUAAUUUCGUGCUUGCCAUUGCCACUGCGCUCCGCUAGCUCUUUCCCUUGCGCUGGUUUCGUUUCGUCGCCCAGCUAGCUAGCUGGCACACAUCGAUCUUCUCGUGCUGUCGCUGGCUGUUGCGGUGCGUCGGCCCGCCAGCCGUCGGAUGCAACGGACGGCAUCCAGGCCGCCUGCCGCGCGCGCGACGGACGUCAGAGGUAGCUAGGGUUUCAACUUUCAAGUGAUGAGAGGGAUCAGGAGAGGGCCUCUCUCCAUCCGUCCGUUAAUUCCAGUCACUCGGCCGGCAGUCGUCGCGAGACUCACAGAGGCGUCGUCGUCGUCUCCAAGCAGUCCCCACUCCCCACCGCGCCGCACUUGGUUGGUCGCGCGAACACCGCGAGCGGCGACCCAAUCCGACGACCGAUCCCCACUGCAACUCAGGUUUGCCCCGAUCUCUCGAGUCGGAGGACUCCACACUCCUCCCAAAAAUCGAUUUUUUUCCCCCUCUGUGAGUGAUCCCGCCGAUCCCCUACAGUAACUCAGGUUUUUGUUGGCUGUGCGCUUAUUUCUUUCUUCUCUUUCGUUCCACUCUUGGUCUUGGAUGGAUGCUGCUGAGUAGCGCGCGGUGGCACGUACGGUAGGUACUAGAGACGGCCGGGGUGGUUUGGAGCCAUCGAUCGAGGUGCCGUGCGGACACGAGCUGUUCAUUCCCUUCAUGCGCCGGGGUGUGGAUCAGGAUCAGCGGUAAUCGAUCGUGUGUGGUGUGGUGUAUUUGGCAUCGGCGACGGAGCCUUCUGCUGGGGGGAACGAAGACCAGACACCAGAGCCGCGCGCGGUCGCUUCAUCGCCGCCCGCCGCUUUGGCGUGACGAUGCCAGUGACAGCGCCAGCCGAACCAAGCUGUAGCUGUAGCUAGCUGUUCCUCUUCUACCAUCCUGACCAGCAGCCAAUUAAUCCCUGUUGAACCCAGAGUCUGUAAUCGUGUCAGUCAUUUAGGUGUGCAUUAGGUGUUACAUUUUUAUGUUCAGCAUGUUUGUAAUUAGCGUAGAAUCCUGGGUGUGUGGCGAUUGCACACGCACUCGCCAGGACCGCGUCUUCAGGGCCAUCUCCGCCAUGGCUGGCACGCCGUGCAUGUCGCACGGGCACCGAAAAUGACGGCGCACCGUGCAGCGCCCAACCGUGGCGGAGGGAGGCGAUCCAGGCCUACAAGGCCGAGUUGAAUGCACAAACAAAGCUGCGCGUUCGCAGUAAACUGAAACGGUGCUCUCUCUCUCGUGUAUCGCUCGCUCGCCGCCGUAGUAGUUUUAGUUGACGCGGUCACCACUCGCCGGUGUUCCGCCUCGCCGGGCUCCUCGCCGGAGCUGCGGUCCCAACAUUCUGGUACCAGAGCGUGGUUUAUGCAAUACGACGGCAGCGUAAGCCCACCGAGAGAGCCACCGCACAAGAAGUUCGUCGUUCUCAAGAAAUCGCCACCACCGAUCGCCAUGGGCGACCAAGGAAGCUCCUCCGGCGGCGUCAAGGAAAGUUCCUUGAUGUGGCCCAUGCUGACGCGUGACAACUACACCGAGUGGGAGAUGCUGAUGCAAUGCAACUACGAGGCGUUGGAGAUCUGGGGGGUGAUCGACCCAGGUACCAACCCCAAACGGUCGCAGGAUCGUCAAGCCAUGAGCGCACUCCUGCGUUCUGUUCCCAAGGAGAUCUGGCAAACGCUCGGCCGGCAGAAGACCGUCAAGGAGGCGUGGGAGGCGGUGAGGACAAUGCGAGUCGGUGCCGAUCGGGUGAAGGAGGUGAACGCCCAGAAGCUGUUGCAGGAAUUCGAGAACAUCGCCUUCAAGGAGGGCGAGUCGAUCGACGACUUCGGUAUGCGGAUCACCAACCUCGUCGGCAACCUCAAGACGCUGGGCGAGACGAUCGAAGACGUGCGCGUGGUGAAGAAGUUUCUCCGUGUGGUGCCCGCGAGAUUCGCUCAAGUGGUAGUCUCAAUUGAGAUGUUUUGUGAUUUGAAGAAUCUCACCAUUGAGGAUCUCAUCGGACGACUGCGCGCGGCGGAGGAGCGCCUGGACGACAAGACCGACAAGGUCACCGACAAGAUGGGGCGCCUUCUGCUCGCUGAGGAGGACUGGAUCGAGAAGAACAAGCAUCGCUUCCUCACGGGGUCUAAGCCCGGAGGGGGCGGCGCGGGUGGCAGUACCUCUAAGAACAAGGCGGCGCGCGCGAUCUGAUGGCGGCGCCUCGAAGCCGGUCAAGUUGACCUCCGAGGGCACGCCACGUCGCAAAGGUCGGUGCCGGAACUGUGGCAUCUAUGGCCACUGGGACCAAGACUGCAAGCGCCCGAGAAAAGACAAGAAAAAGGAGCAGGCUCCGCCGGAGGCCAACGUCGCUGUCGGCGGCGGUGAUCAGGUGGGUGCACUAAUGUUGGCCAUGUGCGACGUCGUGCACAGGUCAUCACAGUGUGUUCACCUGAUGGAGGAGAAGGUUGUACCGGUGGACGUCCCUACUGGUGUCUGGGUGCUCGACACUGGGGCGAGCAACCACAUGACAGGAUCGCUGUCAGCACUGUCACAGCUUGACAGCAGCGUUCAAGGGACAGUCAAGUUUGGAGAUGGCUCCACCAUCAGAAUCAAAGGUAUGGGUUCAGUAAUUAUGCAAGAUCGAAAUCAGAAUCACAAAGUUCUUACUGAAGUAUACUACAUACCUGAAUUGAAAAGCAACAUUGUUAGCUUGGGCCAGUUGGAAGAAAAAGGGUUCAGAUAUGUGGGAGAAAAUGGGAAACUAUGUGUUUAUGAUCAGGAUCGUACCUUGUUAAUCUCUGCACCUAGAAUUGAAAAUAGACUGUAUCUGGCUAAGUUCAGUUUGACACCUCCAGUUUGUCUGCUUGCACAGUCUGAAAAUUUGUCUUGGCUUUGGCAUGCCCGUUUUGGACACCUGAACUUUAGAUCAUUAAACAUGUUGGGUGCUAAGUCAAUGGUUGUUGGGAUGCCAUGUGUCAAGGAGGUGGAGAAGGUAUGUGAUGGAUGUGUCCUAGGUAAACAGCAUAGAAAGCCAUUCCCACAAGUGUCAAACUUCAGAGCAGGAAAAGGGCUAGAAUUAGUUCAUGCAAACCUAUGUGGGAAAAUAACACCAGAGAGCAUUGGGGGAGCCUCCUAUUUUCUGUUGGUGGUGGAUGACCACAGCAGAUAUAUGUGGAUUGAAAUGCUUAAGUCCAAGGACCAAGCCUUUGAGUGUUUCAAGAAGAUCAUGCUAAGAGCUGAGAGUGAGUCUGGUGAAAAAUUAAAAGCCCUGAGAACAGACAGAGGUGGUGAAUUCACCUCAAACAUGUUCUCAGUUUUCUGCAACAAUGGUGGAAUCAAGCAUUACACCACAGCCCCAUAUACACCACAGCAAAAUGGUGUUGUGGAAAGGAGAAAUCAAUCAGUGGUGGAAAUGGCAAGGUGUCUGUUGAAAGCCAUGAGGGUUCCAUCAGUGUUUUGGGGUGAAGCUGUCAGAACAGCUGUAUAUUUGCUAAAUAGGUGUCCUACUAAGGCCCUAAGUGGAAAAACACCUUUUGAAGUUUGGCAUGGAAAGAAACCAGUAGUGAGUCACUUGAAAGUAUUUGGUUGUGUUGCAAAUGUAAAGAAAGUUGGACCUGGUGUAAAUAAGCUAUCUGAUAGAUCUAGCAAGAUGGUCAUGAUAGGCUAUGAAUCAGGUACUAAAGGGUACAGAUUAUUUGAUCCUUCCUCCAACAGGUUGGUGGUGAGCAGGGAUGUCUUAUUUGAAGAAAAUGUACCCUGGGACUGGAAUAAUCCACAAUGCAGCACAGAUCAGCAAGUGACAGAUUCAUUUGUUGUUCACUACGAGUUGUCUGACCAAAAUCUGACAACAGGCCAAAAUGCAGAAAAUGCUGGUACUCCAGUUACAGCUCAAGGGGGUGAGGCACCAGCAGAUCAAGGGAGUAACGUGAGCCACAAUCACUCACCUAACUCCCCAAAUGCUCCAGGAUCCAAUGCAGCACCAACUAUGCAGUAUGCAACUCCACCAAGCCAACAUUCAGAAGAUGUUUUUCCACUUAGGGCCUUAGUAGGACACCUAUUUAGCAAAUAUACAGCUGUUCUGACAGCUUCACCCCAAAACACUGAUGGAACCCUCAUGGCUUUCAACAGACACCUUGCCAUUUCCACCACUGAUUGAUUUCUCCUUUCCACAACACCAUUUUGCUGACACCUAUGGUGGACCACUCAGAUUCAGAAGACUCGAUGAUAUUUUCGACAAUACAGAAGAGUUGGAGGAAUAUGAGUAUAGUGGAGUAUGCUUACUGGCAGCAGAUGAGCCAGUCAGUGUGGAUGAAGCAUUGGAAGAAAAAUGCUGGGUUGAAGCAAUGAACAGUGAAUUGAGGUCCAUAGAAGAAAACAACACUUGGUGCUAUACUAAUCUGCCAAAGGGUCACAGAGCCAUAGGUUUGAAAUGGGUUUACAAGGUGAAAAGGGAUCCAGAGGGUAAUAUAGUCAAGCACAAAGCUAGACUUGUUGCAAAAGGCUAUGCUCAAAAAUAUGGAGUGGAUUAUGAGGAGGUUUUUGCUCCUGUAGCUAGGCUUGAAACUGUCAGACUCAUGUUGGCACUUGCUGCAAGUGGAAGAUGGGAGGUGCAUCACAUGGAUGUGAAGUCUGCUUUUCUUAAUGGUGAGCUACAGGAAGAGGUAUAUGUACAACAGCCUCCUGGUUUUCAGAAUUCCAAGCAGCCUGGAAAAGUUUUGAAACUGUCAAAGGCACUUUAUGGCCUGAAACAAGCACCCAGGGCUUGGAAUGCCAAGCUGGAUCAAGAACUUGUCAAGCUGGGGUUUUGCAGAAGCAGUGAAGAACAUGCAGUCUACAAAAGAGGAAGUGGGAUUAACUUGCUGCUUCUAGGAGUGUAUGUUGAUGAUCUAGUCAUCUGUGGGCCUGACCAGAAUAGAAUUCAUGAAUUCAAGCAACAAAUGAGCAAGACUUUCAGCAUGAGUGACUUGGGACUGCUGAGCUAUUAUCUGGGAAUGGAGGUGAGGCAGAAGCCUGGUGAAAUAACCAUUUGUCAAAGAGCAUAUGCAGCAAAAAUAGUAGAGCAGUGUGGAAUGACUGGUUGCAAUCCUGUGGAUACUCCCAUGGAGCAAAAUUGCAAGUUAAUACCUGGGAGGCCUGAACUAGCCAGAGAUGUGACAAAGUUCAGAAGCAUUGUGGGAAGUUUGAGGUACUUAGUGAACACUAGACCUGACAUUGCCUACUCUGUUGCAAUGGUCAGUAGGUUCAUGGAGUCACCUACCUCUGAACAUUGGGCAGCUCUGAAAAGGAUUGUCAGGUAUGUUGCAGGGACUACUCAGUAUGGCUGCAAGUAUACUUGCAAAUCACUGUUGAACCUGAAACUGCUGGGGUACUCAGACAGUGACCAUGCUGGUGAUUUAGAGAAGAGGAAGAGCACAUCAGGUGUAGUAUUUUUCUUGAAUGGAAAUGUGAUAACCUGGACCUCACAGAAACAAAGGCCAGUGACAUUGUCGAGUUGUGAGGCAGAGUAUGUUGCUGCAGCUGCAGCAGCCUGUCAGGGUGUUUGGCUGGUCAGACUCAUUGCAGAUCUCACUGGUCAGAAUCUUCAGAAGUUCAAGCUUCUCAUGGACAGCAAAUCUGCGAUUGAGCUGAGCAAGAAUCCAGUGUAUCAUGAAAGGAGCAAACACAUUGACACACGCUACCACUUCAUCAGAGAGUGUGUCGCUGAUGGGAUUGCAGAGGUGGACCAUGUUGGCACCGACAGACAGCUUGCAGAUAUCUUAACGAAGCCUUUGGGAAGGAUCAAAUUCGUUGAAAUGCGUCAGCAGCUGGGAGUUGGGAACAUGUGUCACGAUUAAGGGGGUGAAAUGUUGAACCCAGAGUCUGUAAUCGUGUCAGUCAUUUAGGUGUGCAUUAGGUGUUACAUUUUUAUGUUCAGCAUGUUUGUAAUUAGCGUAGAAUCCUGGGUGUGUGGCGAUUGCACACGCACUCGCCAGGACCGCGUCUUCAGGGCCAUCUCCGCCAUGGCUGGCACGCCGUGCAUGUCGCACGGGCACCGAAAAUGACGGCGCACCGUGCAGCGCCCAACCGUGGCGGAGGGAGGCGAUCCAGGCCUACAAGGCCGAGUUGAAUGCACAAACAAAGCUGCGCGUUCGCAGUAAACUGAAACGGUGCUCUCUCUCUCGUGUAUCGCUCGCUCGCCGCCGUAGUAGUUUUAGUUGACGCGGUCACCACUCGCCGGUGUUCCGCCUCGCCGGGCUCCUCGCCGGAGCUGCGGUCCCAACAAUCCCAACGAGGUCACUCCAAUCUCAAGUUCCCAACCAGAAGCUCACCGAUACGAGGCGUGCCUUUAAUUUGGUGCUGGGCUGCUGGCUGACCUUGCGUUGGCAAGCAUCCCUUCGAGGACUCACAUCGAUCCAUGUUAAUGCACAGAGUCUGGCCGCUACGUACGUAGCUCUCUUAAGUCUUAAUUCAGUGGUAAGAGGCUAAGAGAGCCACUGCAGCAGUGCAGAUGACACCCCAGGCCGGAGUGCCACUUUGUCUUAAAUAGUUGGAUAACGUACAACAGCCCUACACACAUUCAGACCAACAUUGAAAUGGCUGCAUUGUUUGAUGCACUACUGUAAAAAUGAUUUCCAACAACGGGAGUAUGUUUGCAUAUAUAGAGGCAGCUCAAUCAGGAGCUCCCUCUAUAGUACCUUGUAAACCGAAAGUCACCUCUGAAGAUGCAUAUUUAGAGGUACUCCAACUCCAGGCUCCAGCCCCUCUACAAAUGCAUCUUCAGAAGUGACUGGUGUUGUUGGAGCCAUGUCUGAAUUUAAUUUGUUGAGGCAGCGCUGUAUAUAACCGCCUUACAAAUAGUCUAGUGUAUAAGUUGCAGCCCCACUUCUUACACCUUAGAAAAUAUACUGUAAUCUAUGGUGGAAGGGAGGGAAUCGAAGGCCUUGGGAUGCCUCCAAAAAAUUGCAAAUCUAGGGGGGGGGGGAGGUUUUCGUUUUGAUUCAUUUGGUGGAGGAGGCUUUAGAAGGUAAGUACAUGCUAUUCCAAGCCUCUUUUGUAGUUUUAGUGGUAGAUUAGUGAGUAAAUUAGGUUUUUGAUUGAUAUUCUCUCUCUUUCAUGGUGGUUGAGGCAUUUAUGAUUGCAUUUAUAUCAAAAUUUUGAAGGUGCUAGGGUAAAUUUAGCAGGAGAAUAAGAUUCUACCGUAAUUUAGCAGCCAAAUCUUCAUUUCAAUGGCCAAUUUAAUGUUUUUAAUUAGGGAUCGGAGAGAUUGGUUUUCUUCUAAAUCUAUAACUAGAACUAUGGGUUGGGAUUAGUUUUUCAUUUUAUUGUAUGAAUAGCCUAAUCAUGUUAAUGCACAGAAGUUGCCCUCUUCAGUGGUCAAUAAUUUCAUUUGGGACCGGAGUUUUUAGUUUCAUAUUUGCUUGCUUUGAUACAUCAUUCAUCUUCCGUACCACUGCACCCUGAUUCAAUUCAUCUUCACCAUUUUUACUUGUCAAACAUUAUAUUUGAUUGAUCCAUAUCUUCAUGUUCAGGUAGAAAAAUAAUAGUAUUUGUAUCUUCUGCCAAGAAGAUUUGAAUAACGAUGCAACAUUAUUUUUUAUUAGCACCUCUUGUGGUUGUCACAUCUCGUACUUUAUUAGUAUCUAGGUGUUAUUAUUAUUAUGUACAUGCCUGAUUAUCCAAAUGGAUCAUUGUUUUUUCUAUCAACUCAAUUCCAUUGAGAGGAUACUUCUCCAUAUGUCAAGGACGUAAUCUGAAAUAACGACGAGAGUAUUUUCACAUGGACAGAUUAGCUUAGGACUUACUCCCUACGGUCCAAAUUAUAUGUUGCUUUGACAAUUCUAGAUGCAUAAUUUUUUCUACAAAUCUGAACAUAAUAUAUAUAUAUAUAUAUAUCUAGGUGUAGUAAAAAACUAUGUACUAAGAAAAACCAUAAUAGCCUACAGUUAGAAUUGAGGGUAGUUGUAUAAUGGCAUAUAUGAAUAAUGGUACCUAAAUUUUGUUGGAUAUUAUGUAUUUUCGUGGAGGAGUAAGAUAGAACCAUGUAAUGCUGCAAAGUCCAUAUAAUGUUCUAAUCCUUUUUCUGCCCUUGAAUGUUACAGUAUGCAAGGAGAAGGUACUUCAAGGAUGUCACAGACACCUAGAAGAACAGCAUCAAGUCACAACAUUAAGGCCCAUACUAGCACGCACGUCUUCGAGAUCGAUGACUAUAGUCAAAAGAAGGAGACAAAUGUUGGUGAAUUCAUAAGGUCAUCCACCUUCACUGUUGGUGGCUUCGAUUGGUCCAUCCGCUUCUACCCCAAUGGCAUUGAUGAAAACAGUAAGGAUGACAUCAUUGUCUUCUUGGAGUUGAUGAGUAGCGAUGUCAAGCUGAGGGCGCACUACAACAUUCAAUUCAUUGGAGGGGAUGAUGGUGCGAAGAAGGACAGCAUGAUAUCAUGGUAUUCGACAGGAGGAAUGCAUCUGUUCAAGUCGAAAGGAGGUGAAUAUAGACCAAGACACAUGGGGUACUUGAUGAGGGACAAUUUGGAGGAGGAGUUUGUCAAAAAUAACCGCCUAACCAUUCAAUGUGACCUCACUGUGAUACGACUAUACAGCUUGUCUGAAAAUAGGGUGCCGAUCACUGAAAUCCCGGUUCCACCGUCUGACAUCAAGGUGCACUUUGGCAAGUUGCUAGAGGAUAAGAAGGGAGCCGAUGUUACAUUUGUUGUGGGCUGUCAGACCUUUGAUGCACACAAGGCUAUUCUCGCAGCACGGUCUCCUGUCUUCAUGGAGGAGUUGUAUGGGUUGACGACCAGAGACAUAGGGGCUGGACCUAUGAUAGUGGAAAACAUGAACCCUUUGGUUUUUAGGGAUCUUUUGCAUUUUAUCUAUACAGACACGCUGGCUUUCAUGUGCGAUCCUCAAGGAGUUGACUAUUGUGUAAGGAUCAUUUACCUGCUUGUUGCUGCAAAUAGAUAUGCCAUGGAUAGGUUGAAAUUAAUGUGUGAAGACAUCCUCGCCAAGAUGCUUAACAAGGAGGCUGCUGGGACUACUCUGGAUAUAGCUCAAAGCCAUAGCUUGCAUAAGCUUAAAGAAGAUUGUAUAGAGUUUAUGGCAUCACAGUGUGAGAGGGAUGUUGUUCAAGCAUGCACAUUGCUCAAAAGAUCGUGUCCUUCCUUUGUUACAGCUGUAUUAACUAGAAAGGAGAAACUGGAGUUAGUAAACAAAGAUGCGGUGAUCAUCCUAAAGUGACCCUUGACAAGGUAUCUUAUUCUUAUAUCAUAUGACUACCUUGCUGGUUUAUAUAUACUAUAUAGCAGCUUAUCCUAGCUAGAGAUAAAAUUCUGAAUAUCUUUUUUUUAACUUCUACGCAGAGGAAGCCUGGGAUUCUAUUAAUUGUAUGGUUUGAGGACUAAGGAGUAUAUCUGCUGUAGUCUUAUGAAUGAUAAGACAUUUCAUGUUGUUUUUGGAUGAACAUUAAUAACUUGUUUUGUGAAUUUGAAACUAUUAUAUCUUUUGUGUGACAAUGUAAUGUUAUGUGCGUUGUCGCUCAUAUUGUCGCUUGUUUUACCAUUAUAUUUACUUGAUUACUCUAUACUAUAUAAAAAAUUAACCGUUCAAACGCGCAUUUAGAAACAUCAGUCUGUAGUAUUACAGACGCACAAAAGUGUAUCGCAACCAUCACACUAGUAGCAGUGUUACAGACGCGUGUUCCUAUGGCAUCUGUAGGGGGCGCCGGUAGUAGAUAUGACUCUUUUUUACAUAGUGCUAAUAGAUAUUUGGUAUACUAUUCUUGGAACGACUUUUAAUUUGCAUAAAUUCUUUGUUGUACUGAGUAUCCUGUGAGUGAGUUUCCGGAGACCAUAAAUUUUGACUCUGGGUUCACAUAAGAAACAGGAUGAUACUUUUGACAAAGUGUAUUGCAACCAUCACACUAGUAGUAGCAAUAUUUCGGGGAAACUCCGGUUUGUGGGCAAUUAUUUACACUUUUGAGCCAGAAAUCAUCUACAGGUUUUAUCAGAUCGAUGUUCUUUUGGGAAGCCCAUUAUGGGAGCCAAGGAAUCAUUAUUUUCCUCUUGAAUUGUGAGACGGUGUCUAUGAGACUGGUACCAGAACUUUAUUAAUUCUGGUUUCAUGAAAAAAACAUGCUGCUGAUACAGUUUGUAAUUAACCCCAUCUUGCCAAUGCAGUUUAAAUGUUAACCCACAUAACGAUGAAAGGUAGGAUGCAUGUUUUCUUUUUAUCCGUCCAAGAAAAGAGUAUAUACGAUUAUUAUGUAUUCUAUGAAUAUGAACAGUAAUGCUAUGGAUUCUUCCAUCAUAUUGGAUGCGUUAAGGCUUAGGGCUCCAUUAGGAUAUGCGGUUUAGUUUCAGAUUCCUAUGGGAAACACAUUAUUUCAAUUGACAAAAAAUUCUAAUUCUUAAUUUACAUAUGGAUCUUAAAAAGGAUGUCAUCACUACCGGAGAUUCGUUCUUUGCCUAGUGUCGCACACUUUGCCUAGUGCAAUUUAUCGGACACUCGGCAAAGGAGUUGUUUGCCGAGUGUCUCCCUCGGCAAACCGAAGCACACGGUAAAUCGAUAGUUUGCCUAGUGCCAAACACUAGGCAAACGUUGACACUCGGCAAACCAGCCCUUGGGUUUGUCUCACAUAUGUAAUCUCUUCUCCUUUCUACAGAAUCAAUCGGCGGCAUCGAAUGAAGUGCCUCAUGCUACAAAUCCUUCACCAAAUCAGUCUCGUUGUCCGUGAUGAUACUUGUAGUUGUUAAUGGUACUUUUAUUUGCACUUCUUAUGGUGAAUGAUGGAGCAAUGGGAUUACUUGUGAACUUAUUGUGAUAUACUGUGACUUAUUUGAUGUUUGUGAUAUGUAUGUGAUGUCUGUGAUAUGUAUGUGAUGUCUGUGAUAUAUAUAUCAUGUCAGUGAUGUCUGCUAUGCAUAUUUUUUGUUUGUCUGGAUGGAACGGAUAAAAACGAUUAAAAAAAUAUUUCUGGUCUCUUUGCC